rnacentral:lncRNA from 1 species
GGUGCUAGAUGUGUCAGGCCAGGUUAAGCGUCUGAAUUGUCAUGAAGGCGCACAUGAAUGGGAUUUAUUUUGGCUUCAACCAAAAACACAGUGUGAGGUUUAUGCUUACUGUGGGCCUUUCGGAACCUGCACUGGGGAUUCUGUUGAAUUUUGUGAAUGCUUGCCAGGUUUUGAACCUCUCUUCCCUGAAGACUGGAAUCUGCAAGACAGAUCUGGAGGGUGUGUGAGGAAAGCAGAUUUGCAGUGUGUCAAUGAAAGCCAUGCUAAUGGGGAGCGAGACCAGUUUCUUUUGGUGUCUAACGUGAGACUGCCCAAGUAUCCAGUAACACUGCAAGCAAGGAGUGCUAUGGAGUGCGAAUCAAUUUGCCUGAAUCGCUGCUCUUGCUCUGCUUAUGCUUAUGAGGGAGAGUGUAGAAUAUGGGGUGGAGAUCUUGUAAACGUGGAGCAGCUACCAGAUGGUGAAAGUAAUGCUAGAAGUUUCUAUAUCAAACUUGCUGCCUCUGAGCUAAAUAAGAGAGGUAAGAAAAAAGAGUCAUAGUUGUUAUUGUAGGAGGACAUAAAGCAUAUGGGUCUUGUUUUAUUUUCAAAAUAAAAUGGCCAUCGAUUCAGCUAAAUUUAAUAUGAUAUAUUUCCUUCUACAGUUUCAAGCAGCAAGUGGAAGGUAUGGCUAAUUAUUACACUGGCCAUAUCUUUAACUUCAGCCUUUGUCAUUUAUGGGAUAUGGGGAAGGUUCCGAAGAAAAGGUCAGUAUUUCUCAAGGACAGACGGAUGGCCAAGCGAUUCAACCGUUUUUAGGUUCCAUCUACAAAUAAAAAACCAGUUCUUUUCUGAAAUGAGUUCAUUAGCACUGUUAUUGAAUGGUUAAGGUAACAUUAGGAUUUCAUGUUCUGAUUACAUGUGAGUGUGUAUGUGGAAUCCAAUGUGAGAAAUAAUUUAUUCCCAUGCCAGAAUUCCUACAUUCAUAUGAUAUUUAUUGUCUGUUUGUUCUUUACCAAGCAGGGGAAGAUUUGUUAGUAUUUGAUUUCGGUAACAGCUCAGAAGAUACCAGCUAUGAACUUGGCGAGACAAAUAGACUUUGGAGGGGCGAGAAGAAGGAAGUUGAUUUGCCCAUGUUCAGUUUUGCGAGUGUAUCUGCUUCUACAAAUAACUUCUCUAUUGAAAAUAAACUAGGAGAGGGCGGUUUUGGAUCUGUUUACAAGGUGAGAUUACAACCCUUGACAAUAAUGUUCUACAAUUUGUCCUGGAGUGUGAAGGCCCACUUGAUAUAUACCAAAUUUCUUUUACUUGGUGUAAUUGUAGUCACAUGAAAUUCCCAUGACAGGGAAAGUUACAAAGAGGAUAUGAGGUAGCUGUGAAAAGGCUCUCAAAAAGAUCUAAACAGGGAUGGGAGGAGUUAAAAAAUGAAGCCAUGCUUAUAGCCAAGCUGCAACACAAGAAUCUUGUGAAAGUUUUGGGAUACUGCAUCGAGCGGGAUGAGAAGAUAUUGAUUUAUGAGUAUAUGUCCAACAAAAGCUUGGAUUUCUUCCUCUUUGGUUUGUAACUUCCACAUAGAUAUGCUUCCAGCUACUGUAUAUUCAAUGAGAACUUUACACAUUCAUCAUUCUUCACCACUUAUUUGCUAACAUCUAUUUAUUUGGUGUGAAAUGGAAAUAGAUCCUGCAAAACGUGGGAUUCUGAAUUGGGAGAUGCGAGUUCGCAUCAUUGAAGGGGUUGCUCAGGGACUUCUUUAUCUCCAUCAGUACUCCAGAUUGAGAGUUAUUCAUCGAGAUUUGAAGGCUAGCAACAUUCUUCUGGAUAAAGACAUGAACCCAAAAAUAUCAGAUUUUGGAAUGGCAAGAAUUUUUGGAGGAAAUGAAUCAAAAGCAACAAAACAUAUAGUUGGGACUUAGUAAGUGAAUCCUAACGCAUUGUAAAAUAUGUGGAUUGUCUCACAACAUGCUUUUUUUCUACAUGUAUAUUUGUAAUCAUGCAAUUACUAAAUGAAUUGUUUUAAUAAUGAAUCCAGUGGCUACAUGUCCCCCGAGUAUGUUUUGCGAGGUCUCUUUUCAACUAAAUCUGAUGUUUUUAGCUUCGGGGUCUUGUUACUAGAGAUUCUAAGUGGCAAGAAGAUUACUGAAUUUUAUCAUAGUGGCUCGCUCAAUCUUCUUGGAUAUGUAAGUAACACAAUUUUCCUCUUAUGUAGCUAAAGUUAUCAUGUUUACUACUAUAUUUCAAGCUUGAAGUUACACACUUGAAUGCAAUUGACCGAAUUAGGACUAUAUAUCUUUUUUUCUUUUUUCGGGAAUGUGCAUCAAAGUAUAAUUUUCUUUCCUUUAGGCAUGGGAUCUGUGGAAAAACAACAAAGGACAGGAGUUGAUUGAUCCAGUAUUGAAUGAGAUAUCUUUGAGACAUAUUAUGUUAAGGUACAUCAAUGUAGCCCUUCUUUGUGUUCAAGAAAGUGCAGAUGAUAGGCCCACCAUGUUCGAUGUUGUCUCCAUGCUUGUCAAGGAAAAUGUACUUUUAUCUUCUCCAAAUGAGCCAGCCUUCUCAAAUCUAUCGAGUAUGAAACCACAUGCAUCUCAAGAUAGGCUUGAAAUUUGUUCCUUAAAUGAUGUAACACUUUCAAGCAUGGGAGCACGAUAAGUUUUCUAAAUUUCAGAUUGCAUAUGCUUAAAUGUCUUCAGCAUAUUGUCUAGUAUUAUUAUUGGCCAUCAAGUUGAUUGUUGAUGUACUGAACGUGUGAACUUUUGUAUGUAUUUUUCUUUCAAUGCAGUUCAAUAAUGUGCUUAAUUUUACUCAAUCCUCAAGGAUUCAGACCUGUAUCUCAUCUUCCCAUCUGUAAUUGCUACUGAAUCUGUUGGUUUUGAAACUAGAUAAUUAAAAGAAAAACGGAAGCCAGAAAAUUUUUCUCAAAAUUUAAUGAAAUAACAAAUAUAGGUAAUUUAGAAUUGUACCUUGCGAUUAGGCUGAUAAAUUUGAACUCCACCUAAAGGAUCUUAGAAUUCCAAAUCCUCUAAAGCACCAUGGAUCUUUCUCUAACGUUCUCCAAAAAAUGAUGAACUCAAAACGAGUGGGCGUUUAUUAUCUUUGGGUUUUUUUUUAUAUCACACAACUUAAUAUAUUGAAAACUUGUAUUCUCACCCAUCAUCCGAAAAACAUUGAGAAAAAAAAAACUUUUUAAUACCACGAAGAAAAAAAUGACAUAUUUUGAAUUUUGAAAAACAUGGGAGAGAAUAUCUCUCCCCAUGAUCCCCACUUAAAAAGUGUUUCUUUGAAUUUUGAAAAACAUGGGAGAGAAUAUCUCUCCCCAUGAUCCUCACUUAAAAAGUGUUUCUUAGGGAAUACAAGUAAGUGUGGUCUUCACUACAUUGUAUCAAAAAUUAUUUUAAAUAAUCAAAUUAUAAAAUAAAUAAAUCAAAUCAAGAUUGUGUGAAAUUAAUUUAGAAUUCAAAAUUCCAAACUAAUAAAAUCAACCCAACAUAAAAAAAAAUGUUCAUAUAAUUUUAAUGGAGCCGUUGAGAGGAACUAUGGACAUUAUAAUUUUAAGCUCCAAUAAUUUUGACAAUUAAUUAACAACUUAAUUAAAAAAUCAAAAUUAUUAAUUCCAAAAUUACUCCACUAAAAAUUUGGAAUUGCACUCUUAAAAUUAUAAAAUUAAAUAUAUUCAAAGGAUUUGAAUUGCCCAUUAAUAUAGUUACUACAUAUGAGUCAAUCCUCCAUAAACGGUUCAUAAUUAAAGCUAGGUUUUUCCGUUAACCUCUUUAAUUAUAUCUUUCUCCUUAAGUGCCAUUGGUUCUCUAAUGAAUAAUAUAUUUAUGGUCUAAUCAUAAAUUGAGCGCUCUUAUCAUUCAAGGCCCGAACCAAUACUUAUGGUAACCGUCCAUCUGACUUCUUAACGAAGGAAUGAAUUUCAUCUUGUAUAUUAAUAUUCCCGGCUAUUUAUUUUAUUAUACUUCCAAUACACCAAUAAUUUGACACUAUGUAUUUGUGUCAUUACCCGAUAUGUAAAAAAAUACAAUACAAUAAAUAGGAGUCUAUUAAUCACUCAGAAUUAAGAUCAAUGCAUAUAUGACCAUCAUUGAUUAAUAUUGAAUGCUCUAUAUUAUAACGGAAUUUAUUAGAGAUUCAUAAUUAAUCGUGUUCCAGUCCUAUAUAAUCAAAUUAUAUAAAACGCUUUCAUUCCAAUAAUCUCAUUAUUAACAAUCCGGAUAAGAUCAUUUCAUUCAUAAUGUAAUGAACCACGCUAGUAAUUUUAAAUUAAAGAUCCCAACUUUAAUUUUUAAUUACGAACAUAUUAGAUUAUUUUACUUUAAAUGUUAUCCUCCUGUAUAUAACACUUAUAUACAAUAUUUAAAGUUACAAUUAAAUAAUCUAGGGUUUUCGAUAUUUAUAAAGCAUCUAUAACAUGCAUGCAACAAUAAUAUUGAAAUAAUUCCUUAAAAAAAUAUUAAUAAUCAGCAAAAUAAAAAACAUCUCAUUUGUUUAUGGGCACAUAUUCCAACAAAAUCUGCUUUUAUGCAUUGCCAAUCCAGACACUAAAAUACAACCCUCAGAGCUUACUGCAAAUAUUCAACUAGUACUAGGAAAGACGAGCUUUUGCGCAUGAUAUAGCUAAGCAUAAGUACUAAUUAACAUAUAGGCAAGAGGGAAAGUGAGGAAGGAAAGCAGAUAUAGAUUUUUUUGCCUUUUAAACUGUGAUAGCAUCUAGCAUUUUUUUUAAGAGAAGAAAUAGUAUAAUUUAAUUGAGUACUCGUAAAACCUUCUUUUCUUAUUGGACAUGGUUUCAAUAAAACCCAUUUGGUUGCCAAGAAAUCUGAGGAAAUUCCCUUAAUUCUAAGGGUUCAAGAACAAGCCGAGUCCAGCACGACUCGGCCGAGUCGUAUAAACUCAUACUCAAUCAGGAAUCGCUUAAACUCGGUUAACUCAACGGAGAUUCCGAGUUGACUCGGUUGAACCGUUUGUGUUAACAAAAGAAAUCGUUUUUUCACUUUCGAAUCACAGCAGAGGAACAACAAACGAGAUGUAAACCUAAAAAACCUCUCAAAAAUCAAAGAUUGUCUUCAAAAGGAAAAGCUUCUCAACAACCAUGAUGAAGAGGAAGAAAGGCAUCAGUCUAAACCAUGACCGAGUCUUGGAGGUGCACAAGAAGAAGAGGUUGAGGUAUUACUAACUUCAGAACGAUCAUGGAUGUGGAGCGCCUUCGAUGGUCCCGGUGUGGUAACUGGUGUGAUGAGAAGAUUCCCUCCAUUGACGUGAGCGGCCAUCGCUGCAUCUGGUCUCUCCUCUCUCUAAUUUUGGUCUCAGUUCUCGCCUGCUUCUGUCUGCCUUCCUCCCUCUCUCUCUCUCUCUCUCUUUCUCCCUAGUACGGGUGAGUUAGUGAUUUGAAGAAAGGGUGGCAAUCGGUGCCAGAAAAUUGGGGAUUUGAAGACAGGGUGGUCAAUGUUUUAAUAUCACAAUUAUUUAUAAUUGUAUAUGUUAAUAUUAGGUAAUAUAUUAUCAAAUUUUAUAGUCUUUGUUUUUUUUAUGAUAAUAAUUUAUUAUUUUAUAUAUUAAUGGUGUGAUAUAAAUUAUAUUAGCUUAAGUAAAGUAUUAUUUUAUAUGGCAAUGAUAGCAUAUUUGAUGUAUUAAUUUAUUAUUAACAAUAUAUUCAAGUCAUUUAAUAUAUUAUUAUAUUAACAUAUUAAAAUCAUUUAAUUAAUAAUAUAUACUUUGUUUAAUAAAUAUAAUUUUAUAUUAUAUUUAAACAUAAAGUGUUGUAAUCAUUUAAUCAAAAUUAAAAAUAAAAUUAAUGAUUGAAUUAUAUGUCUUUUAGUAAAAAUAUCAUUAUAGUUGAAAUAAAAUAAUUUUCAAUUCCUAACAUUAUCAUAAAUUGUUUUUGUGGAGACUUUAUAACUAUUUAAAUAAUAUUAAAUGUGAAAAAAUUUAUUUUAUAAUUUUUAAGCUUAUUUAAUUAUAUUUGUUUUUGUAAAAAAUUUCAAAAUUUUUUUCUAAUUUAAAAAUUUUUUAGUUAUCUUAUUUUGCAUACCACUUGAUACCAAAUCGAGAUGUUGAGACCGUUAUGCCUUGGGACCCUCCAAAUUAAUGAUUGAUAUCGUCACUUCAAUUAUAUGAAUAUAAAAAAUAAAUAUGUAAAGAAAUACCAUAAGACAUAAUAAUAGUAUUUUAAAAUAUUUUUAGCAUAUUGAUAUAAAUAUAUAUAUAUAUAUAUAAUUAUUUAAUAGUUAUUACUUAUAUUUAAUGGUUUAAAAUAUUUUUUAGUUUUUAAUUAGUAUAUUUUUUGUAUCAAUCAAUAUCGCUUUGACAUCUUAGAUUUAAAUAAUGAAAAUAGUAUCAAUUUUUCAAAAAAAAAGAAAGAAAAAGGAAAUGAUCUUUUAAGGUUAAAGUAUUAAUCUUUAGGUUUAGAUGUUCCCAAACCUUCAAUUCUAAGUGUUGAAGACGACUUCGAAGUUGUUGGAAGUCUUGUAAAUCUACGAUUUUCUAUCUGAUGAUUUGAACCUUGAUCUUAAUGCACUUUUAGUGGAGAUCGAUGGAAGAAAGGGUGGAAACUAUGAGUCUUUCUCUUUGAAGGUGGAAGAUGACUUUCUACAAAAAGUUAUGGAAACUUUAACCCCAAGAUCGAUGUACCUUAAAACCUUUCAAGUCAAUGACCCAUACCGUAACUUUCAACCAUAAGAUGGACACUAAAAAAAAAAAGAAUUAGAGUUGGAUUUGAACACAAACAUCUUUCAAAGAAGAGAAUGUACCUAUCAUUAUGGAAAAUUAUUAUUAAAUUUGGGUGGCAAAAUAUAUCUCCUAUAUUUUAACCCCUACCAUAAGUGACUUUGUGUAAGCGUAAAAAGAAGAACUAUAGAAAAGAUGCCUUAGGUAUUUGCUGAUUAUGAACUAUAUCUAGUAAAAGAUCAUACACGAUGUCCGAAAAACUAUAGAAGAAGAUAAAUCUUGAAGGGAAGAUCAAUGGAAAUGGGUCUAUGACUCGCCACUCCAUGAUUUAUGGGCUGCUUAAACUCUGAUGAUGGGUUAUGGGUAGCAUGAAAAUUUCAGCCAGAGGGUGGUCUGUCAAUCUUGCUUGUUUCUUCAUGUUUUCACUUGGAAUUUGCUAAUGCAUUUAUAGACACAAUCUUACAAGGUCAGUCAAUCACAACUUCUCAAACCAUCGUAUCUGUUGGUGGUGACUUUGAAUUAGGAUUCUUUUCUCUUGGAAACUCCACAAAAUACUAUGUGGGGAUAUGGUACAAGAAAGUGUCAGAGCAAACCAUUGUGUGGGUAGCUAACCGAGGUUAUUCAUUCACAAAUCUAUAUGUGGUUCUUACUAUUAUCCCAGAUGGUAACCUCGAGAUUUGGGAAGGGAAAAUUUCAUACAAGGUGACAAACGUAUCAUUAAAUAGAAACACCGGUGCCACCCUGUUGGAUUCAGGAAAUUUUGUUUUGAGAAAUGAGAAGUCGAAUAUCUUAUGGUAGAGCUUUGACUAUCUAUUGGACAUGAUCUUGCCCAGAAUGAACAUUGGAUAUGACAGAAGGGCUGGAAAAACAUGGUCAUUGGUGUCAUGGAAGAGCACAGAAGAUCCUAGUCCAGGAGUUUUUAUUAGAGAAUUCAUUAUAAUAGAUUUUCUUAUUAGCUUUUUUCCUAUAAUGUGUGGCCAUAUACAAUUAUAUUUGUAUGAAUAUUAUUUAAGGGUAUCAAUUGAUCGGUAGGUGAAUCAAUUGAUUGGGUAUCUAAGAGUCUUAUGUAUGGAAGACUCAAAUUUAUAAAUAGGGAGUUAGAAAAUUUAACUCAUAUGAAUGUGGUGUUACAACUUUUGUAACCCCAUCAUUAUGAAAUUUAUUUGUACAUUAUGUUUAUGAGUAAUAGAGGAAAAUGGAAAAGUAUAACCUAUGCAAUUAUAUAGAUGCAUUCAAGUUCAUACCCCACCAUUACCCAUUAAUUUGUACAUAAUGGGUGUAAAUAAUGAGUAUAACUCCCAUAUAGUCUUUGAUGGGAAGACUAAGAGAUGUAUAAUUUUUUUUAUAAAUUGAGGUCCUAAGCCACACUCUCAUUCUUAUGUCUUUUUGUUGGUUUAUUUUUAACAACAUACACCACACAAGUGACCCAUCCACUAUAUGAGAGUAGUGAGUCGAAGACCUUGCCAAUCCAAUUCACAAGGUAACUCAAUCUCACUUCAAAAGUGUUAUUGAUAUCAUGAAUCAAGGUAAGAAUAUGAUCAUUAUUUGAAUACUUAUAUAUAUAUAUUUUUUUUAUGCAUCCAAAAUGGUUUUAUAAAAUAAUAAUUUCCACAUAAAGUUUAUAAAAGUUUGGUUGACAUUUCUUUCUAUUUUUAAAUUCUUCUAAUUAGUUGUAAUUUCCUAUUUUUUUUUGUAAUAUCCUAAUUUUAGGAUUGUUUCUUAUUUUUGUAUUUUGGGUAGAUUGUUUCCUAUUUUUGUGUUUUAGGUUUUGUGUAUAUAUAUUCAUUCUUAAUCAAUGGAAAAGUCAAGCCAUUGUUUCUCAAUAAUCUUCUACUUCAACAUGGUAUCAAGAGCCUAAUUUUCUUUGGUGUAUUUUCUUCCUUUUUUUUUUCCCUUUUCCUUAAUGGCUUCCAGUGCAUCCUUCUCUUCCACCAACAAUCCUAUCACCAUCCAAAACUCUCAAGAUCCUCAAAAUCCUCUCCUUACAAUCAAUCUCUCCAAUAUCACCAAAUUGUCAUCCAUCAAUUAUCUCACAGGGAGCCUUCAAAUCCAAUCCUUCUUGAAGGUUAUAAUCUUCAUCACUUCAUUGAUGGCGCUCAUACUCCACCACCACCCACCGUCACCGUCACCAUCACUUGUGUUGCAUCCCCAAAUCUAGUAUACACAACCUGGAAGCGUCAGGAUCGUCUCAUCUUUAACGCUCUCCUUGGUGCUAUCUUCGUUUCACUACAACCGCUUAUUGUCUGCACCACCACUUCCCUUGAUGCAUGGCAAACCUUAGUUAAUACCUAUGCCAAACCCUUGAUAAUUUUCUCUCCACCAAUGGUAUAUCCCAUCUUACUACACCACAUACACCUGGACACAAUGGCCUUUCCGAAUGACGUCAUUGUCAUAUUGUUGAAACCGGUCUAUUUCUUCUCACUUAUGCAUCGAUAUCUCUAACUUAUUGGACUUACGCCUUUGCCACUAUUGUAUAUCUCAUCAACUGUAUGCCCACACCCACACUAUAUCUCUCAUCUCCUUUUGACCAACUCUUUGAGUCUCCACCCAACUACACUAAACUUUGGGUGUUUGGUUGCUUAUGUUAUUCGUGGCUUUGUCCUUAUUCUCAACAUAAACUUAACUCUCGUUUCACUUCUUGUGUUUUUCUUGGUUACUCUUCCUACACCACCUAUUAUAUAUUGUGACAAUGUUGGUGCCACCUAUCUCUAUUCUAAUCUAGUCUUUCAUUCGCGCAUGAAACAUGUGGCAAUUGACUAUCACUUUAUUCGGGAUCAAGUUCAAUUAUGUGUUCUUCGUGUUACUCAUGUUUCCUCAACAGAUCAACUUGUCGACGCUCUUACUCAACCGCUUCCACAAAGCUUCUUCCAAGAAUUACGGGUCAAGAUUGGCGUCUCCUCCAGAGCUCUAUCUUGAGGGGGCAUAUUAGAGAAUUUAUUACAAUAGAUUUUCUUUCUAUUUUUAAAUUCUUCUAAUUAGUUGUAAUUUCCUAUUUUUGUUGUAAUCCCCUAAUUUUAGGAUUGUUUCCUAUCUUUGUGUUUUGGGCUAAUUCUAGGAUUGUUUCUUAUUUUUGUGUUUUGAGUAGAUUGUUUCUUAUUUUUGUUGGAAUAUGUGCCCAUAAACAAAUGAGAUGUUUUUUAUUUUGCUGAUUAUUAAUAUUUUUUAAGGAAUUAUUUCAAUAUUAUUGUUGCAUGCAUGUUAUAGAUGCUUUAUAAAUAUCGAAAACCCUAGAUUAUUUAAUUGAAACUUUAAAUAUUGUAUAUAAGUGUUAUAUACAAGAGGAUAAUAUUUAAAGUAAAAUAAUCUAAUAUGUUCGUAAUUAAAAAUUAAAGUUGGGAUCUUUAAUUUAAAAUUACUAGCGCGGUUCAUUACAUUCUGAAUGAAAUGAUCUUAUCCGGAUUGUUAAUAAUGAGAUUAUUGGAAUGAAAGCGCUUUAUAUAAUUUGAUUAUAUAGGACUGGAACACGAUUAAUUAUGAAUCUCUGAUAAAUUCCGUUAUAAUAUAGAGCAUUCAAUAUUAAUCAAUGAUGGUCAUAUAUGCAUUGAUCUUAAUUCUGAGUGAUUAAUAGACUCCUAUUUAUUCUAUUGUAUUUUUUGACAUACCGGGUAAUGACACAAAUACAUAGUGUCAAAUUCUUGGUGUAUUGGAAGUAUAAUAAAAUAAAUAGCCGGGAAUAUUAAUAUACAAGAUGAAAUCCAUUCCUUCGUUAAGAAGUCAGAUGGACAGUUCCCAUAAGUAUUGGUUCGGGCCUUGAAUGAUAAGAACGCUCAAUUUAUGAUUAGACCAUAAAUAUAUUAUUCAUUAGAGAACCAAUGGCACUUAAGGAGAAAGAUAUAAUUAAAGAGGUUAACGGAAAAACCUAGCUUUAAUUAUGAACCGUUUAUGGAGGAUUGACUCAUAUGUAGUGACUAUAUCAAUGGGCAAUUCAAAUCCUUUGAAUAUAUUUAAUUUUAUAAUUUUAAGAGUGCAAUUCCAAAUUUUUAGUGGAGUAAUUUUGGAAUUAAUAAUUUUGAUUUUUUAAUUAAGUUGUUAAUUAAUUGUCAAAAUUAUUGGAGCUUAAAAUUAUAAUGUCCAUAGUUCCUCUCAACGGCUCCAUUAAAAUUAUAUGAACAUUUUUUUAUGUUGGGUUGAUUUUAUUAGUUUGGAAUUUUAAAUUCUAAAUUAAUUUCACACAAUCUUGAUUUGAUUUAUUUAUUUUAUAAUUUGAUUAUUUAAAAUAUUUUUUGAUACAAUGUGGUGAAGACCACACUUACUUGUAUUCCCUAAGAAACACCUUUUGAGUGGGGAUCAUGGGGAGAGAUAUUCUCUCCCAUGUUUUUCAAAAUUCAAAGAAACACUUUUUAAGUGGGGAUCAUGGGGAGAGAUAUUCUCUCCCAUGUUUUUCAAAAUUCAAAACAUGUCAGUUAUUUUUUUUUUCUUCGUGGUAUUAAAAUUUUUUUUUUCUCAAUGUUUCUCGGAUGAUGGGAUGAGAAUACAAGUUUUCAAUAUAUAUUAAGUUGUGUGAGAAAAAAAAACAGAAGAAUGAAAAACGCCCACUCGUUUUGAGUUCAUCAUAAUUUGGAGAACGUUAGAGAAAGAUCCAUGGUGCUUUAGAGGAUUUGGAAUUCUAAGAUCCUUUUGGUGAAGUUCAAAUUUAUUAGCCUAAUCGCAAGGUACAAUUCUAAUUUACCUAUAUUUGUUAUUUCAUUAAAUUAAUACAAGUAUUGAUCAUUGAGAAAAAAUUUUGAGAAAAUUUUUUUGGUUUCCGUUUUUUUCUUUUAUUUAUCUGGUUUCAAAACCAACAAUUGGUAUCAGAGCAGGUUGAUACUCUGUAUUAAUUUAAUGAAUGAUUAUUUGAUAAUCUUUGCAUGGCUUUCGGUAGGCACUUUUGCAUAUUGAUGUUUGUUUAUUUUUAUGUUCAUGGUGAUGAAUGUUUGUGGGAAUGGAUUGGCCGUUUUUUUAUUGGUUCCAUGGAUUUUGUUAUUUUUGUAAUAAUUAUUUUAUUAGAUCUUUUGUAAAUAGGAUUCUUGCUGUAAUUCCUAUUUUAUAAGAUUUUUUGUAAAUAGGUUUACUGUUGUAAUUAUAAAUCGGUUUUGGGUUGAAUUUUAUUGAAUUUGAGAAAUUCAAUGGAGACAACCACAAUUCAAGGAAAUUUGAAUAUUAUUGAAUUUGAGAAAUUCAAUGGAGACAACCACAAUUCAAGGAAAUUUGAAUUUUAUUGAAUUUGAGAAAUUCAAUGGAGACCACCACUUUUCAAGGAGAAGAUGAAGAUGUAAAUUUACAGGAAGACCCAGUUUUAUUAUUUGUAUUUUUUUUAUUUGGGUUGUAUUUAACGUCCAUGGAACCCGACCAUUUCCAUUUUUAUAUUUAUAAAGUUGAUGAUUACUUUGUCCUGCAAGGGGUGGAGCCAGGGGAUUCAAACCCAUGAAGGAUGGGUAUUCCUUGCUAGUACCACCAGGCUAUGGCUUCUGGCUGGUUAUUUAUAUGAAGAAGGUUUAUUUCACGUUGCCCCUAAACUUUAUCCCUGGCUCCACCACAACCCUUGUUUUAGCAUGUCAUUUUAGUUAGAAAAGUGCCUACCUAUUUUUGCAUGUCAUGCAUUCAUGCGUUUAUUUUUAUUUUAUUUUAUAUAAUGUCACAGAUGACUUAAUUUAUAAUUUUAAAUUGUUUAAAAUAUAAAGGCUUAGUAAUUUAAAAUGUUUAAAUUGUCUAAGGUUUAUGAAACAAUAGUUGUUUUAUAAAUUAAAUACACCUUUUGCAAUAUAAUGAGUGGGAGCGGGUAAUAUUACAAUAUAAACCCUAGGUCUCCACCAUUAAUACAACACUGUGAGUUUUUAGUAGCGCUUAGAGACGCUUUGAUUUCGUCCUCCCUACGGAAAGUGUCUACUAAUUUCAAUAACAAGGUUGUCUUCCAUGAGAUAGGAUUUUAAGAUGUAUUUUAGAAUUGACCUACCCUACGACGGCAAUUUCUAAAUUAAAUCUUAAAAAUCUGAUAUGGUGGGUUACACUCAUAAAGAUAUAAUUAAAUUGGUUAAUUAUUUUCUUGACCGAACUUAAAGGAAAUUAAUAAGUAUUAGAAAUAUGAGAUAUUUUGGAUAAUAUUUAUUAAUUGAGAAAGUCUCAUUUUAAUUAGCAGCUUUUUGACCUACCCUACGGCGGCACUUAGUUGUGGUAAUUAAAAUUCCUUAGGCUGUUAAAGUAUAAUUUUUGGUGUAUUUUAUCAUGAGCAUUCUUGCUUCAUAUUUACUUUGCCUUUAAUUUUCUUAUGAUAUUUAUGCAAUUAUUUAUUGAAAAUAUUUCUUAUUUUUGUUCAGCAAAUAUGUCAAACCCAAUUUUCUCACUUCUCGCCUCUCAAGUUUUAACUGGUGAAAACUUUGUAAAAUGGAAGAGCAACAUGAACACUCUUCUCAUUAAUGAGAACUACCACUUUGUCCUUAAGGAGGAUUGUCCUCCAGUGCCUCCAGCUAAUGCCUCCAAGGCUGUCUCAGAAGAGUAUAAUCGUUGGAUUAUUGCAAAUAACAAGACCCGCUGCUACUUGUUAGCAGCAAUGAAUGAAGUGCUUAGAACUAAGCACGAGGGCCUUGAAACUGCAAGAGAGAUUAUGGAAUCUCUACAGCAGAUGUUUGGACGCCCCUCUGAGCAGGCCCGCCACGAAGCUGUGAAAGCUGUUAUGAACAGUAAAAUGAAGAAUGGUUCUUCAGUUCGUGAGCAUGUCCUUAAAAUGAUUCAUCACUUUAAUGAGGCUGAAAUCAAUGGAGCUAAAAUUGAUGAAAAGACCCAGGUUGGCAUGAUCUUAGAGACACUUUCACCCUCUUUCCUCCAAUUCAGGACAAACUACAUCAUGAACCAUAAGAAAUGUAAUUUGACAGAACUCCUGAAUGAGCUGCAAUCUUAUGAGACCCUUAUAGAUGAUAAGGGAGGCAAGGCAAAUAUUGUUGAGGCUAAUGCAGUUGUGGGAAAGGCUUCUUCUUCAAAGAAUAAGAAGAAGAGAAAUGUGAGAAAUCAAAAGGACAAGAAGAAGAUCCAAAAGAAGAAAGGGAAGGCUGUUGAGCCUAAACCUAAGGGGAAAUGUUUCCAUUGCAAUCAAGACAGCCAUUGGAAAAGGAACUGUAAGAAGUACCUUGAUGAGCUGAAACAAAAGAAGAAACAAGGUAAAUUAGAUUUAUUAGUAAUGGAAACAUGCUUAGUUGAGAAUGAUUUCUCAAGCUGGAUUAUUGAUUCAGGAGCAUCUAACCAUGUUUGUAUUUCUUUGAAGAUGCUUGAGUCAUCUAAGGAUCUUGAAGAGGGAGCUUUCAUGAUGAGAGUUGGCAGUGGGGCAAGAGUUUCAGCGACAGCAGUUGGGACAGUACGACUGUCAUUUGCUAAUAAUAAAUAUUUGUUAUUGCACAAUGUUUAUUUUAUUCCGGAUUUCAAAUGGAAUUUGAUUUCGGUUUCAAAGUUACAUGAACAAUUUAUUUCCGUUUCUUUUGAUAUUGACUCUGUUUCAAUCUAUAAGAAUGGAAUGAAUAUUUGUUCAGGUUAUGUUGAUAAUGGUAUAUAUUNNNNNNNNNNNNNNNNNNNNNNNNNNNNNNNNNNNNNNNNNNNNNNNNNNNNNNNNNNNNNNNNNNNNNNNNNNNNNNNNNNNNNNNNNNNNNNNNNNNNNNNNNNNNNNNNNNNNNNNNNNNNNNNNNNAAAUGGAAUAUUAUCACAGCUCACGGCACCUGGGACACCUCAGCAAAAUGGUGUAGCCGAAAGAAGAAAUCGCACUUUGCUUGACAUGAUGAGAUCAAUGAUGAGCUAUUCUUCUCUGCCAACCUCAUUUUGGGGAUAUGCAUUACAAACGGCAGUAUAUAUUCUGAACAUAGUUCCAUCUAAGUCAAUCCCUAACACUCCCCUAGAGUUAUGGAAUGGUCGCAAACCUAGUUUGAGACAUAUUCGCAUAUGGGGGUGCCCUGCGCACGUGUUAAAGGGAAAGACUGGGAAACUAGAACCUCGCUCUGAGGUAUGCAUGUUUGUAGGAUAUCCUAAAGGAACAAGAGGAGGUAUGUUUUAUAGCGCUCAGGAUAACAAAGUAUUUGUGUCAACAAAUGCUACGUUUCUCGAGUAUAACUAUAUGGCAGAUUUUAAACCUAGAAGUAAAGUAGUUCUAGAAGAGUUGCUAGCUGAUGAGAUCAGCCCCAUGCCAACAACAGUUGUUGAACGACAAAGAAAAGAAACCACUGCUCAAGAUCUAACACCACCGCCACCACGACGUAGUGGGAGGGAAAUAAGAUUGCCCAUUCGCUAUCGUGAAAAUGGAGAAGCACAAGUUGCAGUCACUGAUGGCAGUGAUGAUGAUCCAUUGACAUUCAAAAUGGCGAUGGAUGAUGUUGAUCGAGAGAAAUGGUAGGAAGCCAUGAAACUCGAAAUAGAGUCUAUGUACUCAAAUUCAGUCUGGGAACUUGUAGAUCUACCAGAAGGCAUUAAGCCUAUUGGUUGCAAAUGGAUCUAUAAGAGAAAAAGAAGACCUAAUGGGAAAGUAGAGACUUUCAAGGCAAGGCUGGUGGCAAAGGGUUUUACCCAAAAGGAAUGAGUAGACUAUGAUGAUACUUUUUCACCAGUUGCCAUGCUAAAAUCCAUUAGGAUUCUCUUGUCCAUUGCUGCUUAUUAUGAUUAUGAGAUAUGGCAAAUGGACGUCAAGACAGCAUUUUUGAAUGGCCAUCUUGAAGAGACUAUUUAUAUGGUCCAACCAGAGGGUUUCGUGGUCAAAGACCAAGAGUAGAAAGUGUGCAAACUACAAAGGUCCAUUUAUGGACUUAAGCAAGCUUCUAGAUCUUGGAAUAUCAGAUUUAACGAAGCCAUAAAGUCUUAUGGUUUUGAACAAAAUCUGGGUGAACCUUGUGUCUAUAAGCAAAUAGGAGGAGAUAAAGUGGUUUUCUUAGUUCUUUAUGUGGAUGACAUUCUACUCAUUGGAAAUGAUGUAGAAUCUCUAUCCAAGGUAAAGAACUAGCUAGCCAGCCAAUUCCAAAUGAAGGAUUUGGGAGAGGCAAGCUACAUUCUUGGUAUCCAAAUGACUAGGGAUCGUAAGAAUAGGCUUCUGGCAUUGUCUCAGGCAGCAUACAUUGACAAGGUGCUUGUCAAGUUUGCAAUGGAGAACUCUAAGAAAGGGAAUUUGCCUUCUCGACAUGAAGUCCAUCUCUCUAAAGAGCAGUGUCCAAAAACACCACAAGAUGAGGAGAAAAUGAGACGAGUUCCCUACGCAUUAGCAGUUGGUAGUUUGAUGUAUGCAAUGUUGUGUACAAGACCUGACAUAUGCUUUGCAGUGGGAGUGGUUAGUCGAUACCAGUCAAACCCAGGAUUAGAUCACUGGGUAGCAGUCAAGCAUAUACUUAAAUAUCUGAGAAGGACAAGAAACUAUAUGUUGGUAUACUCUGGUAGGGAAUUGAUUCCUAUCGGAUAUACAGAUUCUGAUUUCCAAUCAGAUAGAGACUCUCGGAAGUCUACUUCUGGGGCCGUUUUCACUUUGGGAGGUGGAGCCAUUAUAUGGAGGAGUGUCAAGCAAACUUGUGUUGCUGAUUCAACCAUGGAGGCUGAAUAUGUAGCGGCUUGUGAAGCAGCUAAAGAAGCAGUCUGGCUUCGCGAAUUCUUGAAAGAACUGGAAGUUGUUCCAAAUAUGCAUGAGCCAAUUAGACUCUAUUGUGAUAAUAGUGGAGCAGUGGCUAAUGCCAAAGAACCCAGGAACCAUCGCAAAGGAAAACACAUAGAACGGAAAUUCCACCUGGUAAGAGAGACUGUCAGUAGAGGAGAUGUUUCAGUUGAAAAGAUCGCAUCUGCGAACAACAUAGCUGAUCCAUUCACUAAGACUUUACCAGCUCAGACUUUUGAGCAACAUCUUGAAGGGAUGGGACUUAGAGACAUGUCACAUUUGCUUUAGGGCAAGUGGGAGAUUGUUGGAAUAUGUGCCCAUAAACAAAUGAGAUGUUUUUUAUUUUGCUGAUUAUUAAUAUUUUUUAAGGAAUUAUUUCAAUAUUAUUGUUGCAUGCAUGUUAUAGAUGCUUUAUAAAUAUCGAAAACCCUAGAUUAUUUAAUUGAAACUUUAAAUAUUGUAUAUAAGUGUUAUAUACAAGAGGAUAAUAUUUAAAAUAAAAUAAUCUAAUAUGUUCGUAAUUAAAAAUUAAAGUUGGAAUCUUUAAUUUAAAAUUACUAGCGCGGUUCAUUACAUUCUGAAUGAAAUGAUCUUAUCCGGAUUGUUAAUAAUGAGAUUAUUGGAAUGAAAGCGCUUUAUAUAAUUUGAUUAUAUAGGACUGGAACACGAUUAAUUAUGAAUCUCUGAUAAAUUCCGUUAUAAUAUAGAGCAUUCAAUAUUAAUCAAUGAUGGUCAUAUAUGCAUUGAUCUUAAUUCUGAGUGAUUAAUAGACUCCUAUUUAUUCUAUUGUAUUUUUUGACAUACCGGGUAAUGACACAAAUACAUAGUGUCAAAUUCUUGGUGUAUUGGAAGUAUAAUAAAAUAAAUAGCCGGGAAUAUUAAUAUACAAGAUGAAAUCCAUUCCUUCGUUAAGAAGUCAGAUGGACGGUUCCCAUAAGUAUUGGUUCGGGCCUUGAAUGAUAAGAGCGCUCAAUUUAUGAUUAGACCAUAAAUAUAUUAUUCAUUAGAGAACCAAUGGUACUUAAGGAGAAAGAUAUAAUUAAAGAGGUUAACGGAAAAACCUAGCUUUAAUUAUGAACCGUUUAUGGAGGACUGACUCAUAUGUAGUAACUAUAUCAAUGGGCAAUUCAAAUCCUUUGAAUAUAUUUAAUUUUAUAAUUUUAAGAGUGCAAUUCCAAAUUUUUAGUGGAGUAAUUUUGGAAUUAAUAAUUUUGAUUUUUUAAUUAAGUUGUUAAUUAAUUGUCAAAAUUAUUGGAAGCUUAAAAUUUAAAUGUCCAUAGUUCCUCUCAACGGCUCCAUUAAAAUUAUAUGAANNNNNNNNNNNNNNNNNNNNNNNNNNNNNNNNNNNNNNNNNNNNNNNNNNNNNNNNNNNNNNNNNNNNNNNNNNNNNNNNNNNNNNNNNNNNNNNNNNNNUAAAUAUAUUAUUCAUUAGAGAACCAAUGGCACUUAAGGAGAAAGAUAUAAUUAAAGAGGUUAACGGAAAAACCUAGCUUUAAUUAUGAACCGUUUAUGGAGGAUUGACUCAUAUGUAGUGACUAUAUCAAUGGGCAAUUCAAAUCCUUUGAAUAUAUUUAAUUUUAUAAUUUUAAGAGUGCAAUUCCAAAUUUUUAGUGGAGUAAUUUUGGAAUUAAUAAUUUUGAUUUUUUAAUUAAGUUGUUAAUUAAUUGUCAAAAUUAUUGGAGCUUAAAAUUAUAAUGUCCAUAGUUCCUCUCAACGGCUCCAUUAAAAUUAUAUGAACAUUUUUUUAUGUUGGGUUGAUUUUAUUAGUUUGGAAUUUUAAAUUCUAAAUUAAUUUCACACAAUCUUGAUUUGAUUUAUUUAUUUUAUAAUUUGAUUAUUUAAAAUAUUUUUUGAUACAAUGUGGUGAAGACCACACUUACUUGUAUUCCCUAAGAAACACCUUUUGAGUGGGGAUCAUGGGGAGAGAUAUUCUCUCCCAUGUUUUUCAAAAUUCAAAGAAACACUUUUUAAGUGGGGAUCAUGGGGAGAGAUAUUCUCUCCCAUGUUUUUCAAAAUUCAAAACAUGUCAGUUAUUUUUUUUUUUUUCGUGGUAUUAAAAAAUUUUUUUUUUCUCAAUGUUUCUCGGAUGAUGGGAUGAGAAUACAAGUUUUCAAUAUAUAUUAAGUUGUGUGAGAAAAAAAAACCGAAGAAUGAAAAACGCCCACUCGUUUUGAGUUCAUCAUAAUUUGGAGAACGUUAGAGAAAGAUCCAUGGUGCUUUAGAGGAUUUGGAAUUCUAAGAUCCUUUUGGUGAAGUUCAAAUUUAUCAGCCUAAUCGCAAGGUACAAUUCUAAUUUACCUAUAUUUGUUAUUUCAUUAAAUUAAUACAAGUAUUGAUCAUUGAGAAAAAAUUUUGAGAAAAUUUUUUUGGUUUCCGUUUUUUUCUUUUAUUUAUCUGGUUUCAAAACCAACAAUUUUUGUGUUUUAGGUUUUGUGUAUAUAUAUUCAUUCUUAAUCAAUAGAAAAUUCAAGCCAUUGUUUCUCAAUGAUCCUUUCUCUGCUUCAACAGUUUUCUCCCUGGAGCAUGACCUUAAUGGAACUAGCUAGAUUUUAUCUUGCAAGGGAACAACAGGUACUGGACUAGUGGCGUCCGGGAUGGGCAGGUUUUCAGCCUGCUUCCUGAAAUGCUUUUAGACAAUAUAUUGAAAUACAAUUAUUCCUUUAGUAAGGAUGAGAGCUAUUUCAAUUACUCUCUCUAUAAUUCUUCCAUUAUAAGCAGAGUGGUCCUGGAUGUGUCAGGGCAGAUUAAGCAAAUGACAUGGAUUGAAGACACUCAUCAAUGGAAAUUGUUUUGGUCUCAACCCAGAAGACAAUGUCAGGUUUAUGCUUACUGUGGGCCUUCUAGAAUCUGCAAUCUGGAUUCCUAUGAGUAUUGUGAAUAUUUGCCUGGCUUUGAACCUCGCUCCCCCGGAAACUGGGAAUUGCAAGACAGAUCUGGAGGGUAUGUGAGGAAAGCAGAUUUGCAGUGUGUCAAUGGAAGUCAUGGUGAUGGGGAGAGAGACCAGUUACUUUUGGUGUCUAAUGUAAGACUGCCCGAGUAUCCACUAACAUUGCAAGCAAGAGUGCCAUGGAUUGCGAGUCAGCCAGCCUGAAUAACUACUCUUGCUCUACUUAUGCUUAUGACAACGAGGAGUGUACAGUAUGGAGUGGAGAUCUUCUAAACCUGCAAUAGCUAUCAGAAUCUGACAGUAAUGCUGGAGAUUUCCAUCUCAAACUUGCUGACUCUGAGCAAAAUAGGAGAGGUAAGAAAAAGGGAAUGCUCAUACUAGUUGUUGUAGGACAUAAAGCAUAUAAAAUGGCUAUUGAUUUAGUUAAGUUAAAUGUCAUAUAUUUCCUUCUACAGUUUCAAGCAGCAAGUAGAAGCUAUGGCUCAUUGUUACACUAACCAUUUCUGUAACUUUAGCCUUUGUCACAUUUGGAAUAUGGAGAAGGCUCCAAAGAAAAGGUCAGUAUUUCUCAUGGAUAGAAGAUGACCAAGCAAUUCAAGGCUAUUUAGAUUCCAUCAACACAUACAAAACCAUUUCUUAUCUGAUAUGAAUUCAUUACCAUUGUUGUAGAAUAAUUAAGUUCAUAUUAGAGUUUCAAUCUCCUGAUUACAGUAUUGAAUUAGCUUAUUCCCAUGCCAGAAUUCCUACAUUCUUAUAGAAUUUAAUCUGUUGGUUCUUUACCAAGCAUGGGAAGAUUUGUUACUAUUUGAUUUCAGUGACAGCUCAGAAGAUACCAACCAUGAACUUAGUGAGGCAAAUAAAGGUUGGAGAGGAGAGAAGAAGGAAGUUGAUUUGCCAAUGUUUAGUUGUGCGAGUGUAUCUAUUGCUACCAAUAACUUCUCUAUUGAAAAUAAACUAGGAGAGGGAGGUUUUGGACCAGUUUAUAAGGUGAGCUUAGUAUGACUAACAGUAAUGCCUCUUAGAAAAGAAAUGUGAAAAUUUUUGCUACUGUUCUACAAUCCCUCAACCGUAAAUGCCCAUUAGGCAUACACAAAUUUUCUUUUACUUGGUGUGGUUGUUGUACUUAGUUGAAAUCCCCAUGACAUGGAAAGUCACAAAGAGGAUAUGAGGUAGCUGUGAAAAGACUUUCAAAAAGAUUUGGACAGGGUUGGGAGGAGUUAAAAAAUGAAUCCAUGCUUAUAGACAAGCUUCAACAUAAGAAUCAUGUUAGACUUUUGGGCUGCUGCAUUGAGCUAGAUGAGAAGAUACUGAUUUAUGAGUAUAUGCCCAAUAAAAGCUUAGAUUUCAUCCUUUUUGGUUUGUACUUCUCAACAUAUCUAAACUUUUGUUUAUCCUAAGCUCAAUAAAAAGCUUUUUUCAUUCAUUGUUGUUGGCCUUUUAUUUACUGACACCAGUUUGUAUUUAUUUGGUGUAAAAUUGGGAUAGAUCCUGCAUGACAUGGGAUUCUGGACUAGGAGACACGUCAUUCACAUAAUUGAAGGGGUUGCUAAGGGAUUUCUUGAUCUCCAUCAAUACUCCAGAUUGAGGAUUAUUCAUCAAGAUUUGAAGGUUAGCAACAUGUUUUUGGAUAUGGACAUGAACCCCAAAAUAUCAGAUUUUGGAAUGGCAAGAAUUUUUGGAGGGACUUGGUAAGUGAAUCCUUGCAAACUGUAAGAUACAUGGAUUCUCUCUCUCUCUCUCUCUCUCUCUCUCACACACACACACACACACACACACACACAUAUAUAUAUAUAUACAUUUUUGUCACAAGGCAGCUACUAAAUGAUUUGUUAUAAUAAUGAAAUUUAGUGGCUACAUGUCCCUUGAAUAUGCUUUGGAAGGCCUCUUUUCAACUAAAUCAGAUGUCUUUAGCUCCAGGGUUUUGUUACGGGAGAUUCUAAGAGGCAAAAAAAAAUACCAGAUUUUACCAGAGUGAUUCACUCAAUCUUCUUGGAUAUGUGAGUAACACAAUCUACAAUGUUCUAAUAUACUAAUUCUUGAUUUACUAGUCAGUAAUUUUUCACAUCUUGUUUACUAGUCAAUUUUAAGCUAAAGUUCUUUGCAUGCAAUAAAAAGGACCAUGCAUCUGUUUUUCUUUUUUGGAAAUUUGCAUCAAAAGAACAUUUUCUUUCCUUCAGGCAUGGGAUCUAUGGAAAAACAACAUAGGGCAGGACCUGAUGGAUCCAGUAUUGAAUUGGGAGGCACGGGUUCACAUCAUUCAAGGGAUGGCUCAGGGACUUCUUUAUCUCCAUUAAUACUCUAGAUUGAGAAUUAUUCAUCAAGAUUCGAAGACUAGCAACAUUCUUUUGGAUAAGAACAUGAACAAAACAUAUAGUUGGGACUUAGUAAGUGAAUCAUUAUUAUACUCAUUUUUAUGUGGAAUUUAAAGUUUUAAAAUUUUGUACAAAACAAUUUGCACUUAUAGCUUUUUAAAUAAGAAAACUAUUUUAUAUUUUUAAAAUAAAAUAAUGCAAUUGUGGCAUGUGAAGAAAUUUUUAUUUUUAUGGAUAAAUAUAUUUUACAAAUUUUAUAUCAAUUUCUUUUUUAUUUAUAUCUAUUUAUAUUUUUUUUCAAUGUUUUCAUAAUCGAAUUGGUCAUUGAAUUGAAAAAGUUACUGGUUCACGGUUCAUUGGUUGGAUUGGUGUCGAUCCGUGAUUGAAUCAGUGAUGUUAUAAAUAAGUAAUUUAUAUAUUAUUAAAAUUCAAAAUGUUAUAUAAAAUUUUUUAGAUAUAUAAAAAAAUAAAAAUCAAUAAUAUUUAUUUUUUCAUCUUUAAUAUUAUCAAAUUAACAUAUAUCAAUAAUAUAAUAUUAUCAAUAAAAAAAAUAUUAUCAAGUCCGAAUCGGUGCCUGGUCCACCAGGCUAGUGGUUUUGACCGCCUGUCCGUUGGGCUCAUGAGCGGUCGGCAUUCCGGCCUAAUUAGGCUACCUGGACUGGAUUAAGCUCCAGUUGAUGGUUGAACUGGCCAAUCCAAAACAUUGAUUUUUUUUUUUUAUCUCAAUAUUUGUAUCUUAUUUACUUCAUAUAAACUUGAAAUUAUUAAUUUAAAUAACAAUUAUCCAUUAUCCAUUUAAAACCAGUCAUCCUCACAUUUAUCUCUACACCCAAAUGCCCAUUUCCUAUUGAAAAGUGAAUAUCACAUUGGAUGCAUUGAAUUGUUGUUUCCCUACCACCACCCCUUUUAACUUCUCUUCACUUUGGCAUCACAAACUUAAGCAAUUUUUUUGGGAUGUUGAGAUGAGAUCAUGAGACAAGCGUUCAGAGGACGUGUUGAGAGUUUCUGAUAUCUUCCACGACAGCUAAGACCAUGAAUCUGAAGAGAAAGAACUGAAGAAGAGGGAGGAAAGUGAGAGUUGGUUACUCCCUUAAUUUUCAAAUUUAAAAUGGAUGAUGAAGUCUGAAGAUGUCAUAUUACACAUCCAAUGGGCCCAAUAAAUUCUUGGGUACCUACACAGACUGUUUCGUAGAAUUUUCCUAAAAGAUAUUUUGAAAGGGAGAUCGAUGGAAAGGAGACUUUUACUUACCAGUCGCCGGGCCGCCUCAGAUCCGCUACUGCCUGUUUUGGAUGGCUAUAAGAUUAUUGAUGGGCUGCGUAAACGCUUCUUAUGAGUUAUGGGUAGCAUGGAAUUUUCAACCAGAAGGUGUUCUGCUUAUCUUGUUUUCUUGCUUAUUUCUUCAGGUUUUCACUGGCAAUUUGCUGAUGCAUUUACAGAUACAAUCUUACAAGGUCAGUCAAUUACAACCUCUCAGACCAUCAUAUCUGCUGCUGGUAACUUUGAAUUAGGAUUCUUCAAGCCUGGAAACUCCACAAAUUAUUAUGUGGGGAUAUGGUACAAGAAAAUCUCAGACCAAGUCUCAGACAAAACCAUUGCCUGGGUGGCUAACCGAGAGUAUGCGUUCAAAAAUCCGUCUGUGGUCCUUACUGUCAGCACAGAUGGUAACCUCGAGAUUUUGGAAGGGAAGUUUGCCUACAAGGUGCAAGCAUAUCAUCAAAUAGAAACACAAGUGCCACCCUGUUGGAUUCUGGAAAUGUAGUUUUGAGAAAUGACAACUCAACUAUCUUAUGGCAGAGCUUUGACUAUCCAUCGCACGCUUUCUUGCCGGGGAUGAAAAUUGGAUAUGACAAAAGGGCUGGAAAAACAUGGUCAUUGACGUCAUGGAAGAGCACUGAAGAUCCCAGUCCAAGAGUUUUCUCCGUGGAGCAGGGCCCUAAUGGAACUAGCCAGAUUUUUAUCUUGCAAGGGCCAACAAGGUUCUGGACUAGUGGCAUAUGGGAUGGGCGUACUUUCAGCCUGGCUCCUGAGAUGCUCGAAGACUACAUAUUUAAUUACAGUUAUUACUCUAGUAAGGAUGAGAGCUAUUGGAGUUACUCUCUCUAUGAUUCUUCCAUUAUAAGCAGAUUGGUGCUGGAUGUGUCAGGGCAGAUUAAGCAAAGGAAAUGGCUUGAUUCCUCUCAUCAAUGGAAUUUGUUUUGGGCUCGACCAAGAACAAAAUGUGAGGUUUAUGCUUCCUGUGGGCCUUUUGGAAUCUGCCAUGAGAGUGCAGUCGAUGGAUUCUGUGAAUGUUUGCCAGGUUUUGAACCUGUCUCCCCUAAUAACUGGUACUCGGACGAAGGGUGUGAGGAAAGCAGAUUGCAGUGUGGCAAUACUACUCAUGCUAAUGGGGAGAGAGACCAGUUUCGCAAGGUGUCUAGUGUGACACUACCGAAUUAUCCACUAACACUCCCAGCGAGGAGUGCCCAGGAGUGCAAGUCAGCUUGCCUAAAUAACUGCUCUUGCUCUGCUUAUGCCUACGACAGAGAGACGUGUACAGUAUGGAGUGGAGAUCUUCUAAAUUUGCGACAGCCAUCCCAUUACAACAGUAGUGGUCAAGAUUUCUAUCUCAAACUUGCGGCCUCUGAGCUAAAUGGGAAAGGUAAUAAAAGUAGGGAAUGGUCAAACUUUUUUUGUGGAAGGACAGAGCAUAUGAUUUUCUUUUUCUUAAAUAUAAGAUGAAGUUCAUCAAAGAUUAGUUACAUUUAUUUCUUUUUGCAGUUUCAAGCAGCAAGUGGAAGGUGUGGCUAAUUGUUAUACUGGCCAUUUCCCUAACUUCAGCCUUUGUCAUUUGGGGGAUAUGGAGAAAGCUCCGAAGAAAAGGUCAGUAUUUUUCAUGGAUAGAAGAUGGCCAAGCAAUUCAAGGGUAUUUAGAUUCCAUCUACACAUACAAAACCAUUUGUUUUCUGCAAUGAGCUCAUUACCAUUGUUGUAGAAUAAUUAAGGCCAUAUUAGGAUUUCAAUCUCCUGAUUACAUGUGAGUGUGGACCUGCACUAUAGUGCGAUAAAAAUCAAUAAUGAAUCAAUUUAUUCCCAUGCCAGAAUUCCUACAUUCUUAUGAUACUUGACAGCUGUUUCGUCUUUAUCAAGCAGGGGAAAAUUUGUUACUAUUUGAUUUAAGUAACAGCUCAGAAGAUGCCAACUAUGAACUUAGUGAGGCAAAUAAACUUUGGAGAGGCGAGAACAAGGAAGUUGAUUUGCCAAUGUUCAGUUUUGUGAGUGUAUCUGCUGCUACUAAUAACUUCUCUAUUGAAAAUAAACUAGGAGAGGCGGUUUUGGACCUGUUUACAAGGUGAGAUUAGUAUCUGUGAAUUUUCUUGGUAUGUACAGAGUUUCUUUUACUUGGUGUCAUUGUACUAAGUUAAAAUUCCCAUGACAGGGAAAGUCACAAAAAGGAUACGAUGUAGCUGUGAAAAGGCUUUCAAAAAGAUCAGGAUAGGGAUGGGAGGAGUUAAAAGAAUGAAGCCAUGCUUAUAGCCAAGCUGCAACAUAAGAAUCUUGUGAAGUUGUUUGGUUGCUGCAUUGAGCAAGAUGAGAAGAUAUUGAUUUAUGAGUAUAUGCCCAACAAAAGCUUGGAUUUCUUCCUAUUUGGUUUGUAACUUCUACAUAUCUGAACUUCUUGCUACUGUGUAUUCAAUAAAAAACCAUUCAUUAUUAUUCACCACUUAUUUGCUAACAUGAGUUUGUAUUUAUUUGGUGUAAAAUGGAAAUAGAUCCUGCAAAACAUGGGAUUCUGAAUUGGAAGACAUGGGUUCACAUCAUUGAAGGGGUUGCUCAGGGUCUUCUUUAUCUGCAUCAAUACUCCAGAUUGAGGAUUAUUCAUCGAGAUUUGAAGGCUAGCAACAUUCUUCUAGAUAAGGACAUGAAUCCUAAGAUAUCAGAUUUUGGAAUGGUAAGAAUAUUUGGGAGCAACGAAUCAAAAGCAACAAAUCAUAUAGUUGGGACUUAGUAAGUGAAGCCUAACAAAUUCUAAAAUAUGUGAAUGUUCAUACAACUUUUUUUUUUUUUCUACACAUAUAUUUGAAAUCAUGCAGCUACUAAAUCGUUUUGUGAUUAAUAAUCAAAUUCAGUGGCUACAUGUCCCCUGAGUAUGCAUUGGAAGGCCUUUUUUCGACUAAAUCUGAUGUCUUUAGCUUCGGGGUCUUAUUACUAGAGAUUUUGAGUGGCAAGAAGAAUACUGAAUUUUACCAAAGUGACUCCCUCAAUCUUCUCGGAUAUGUGAGUAACACAAUAUUUCCUCACAUAACUAUUUAUGAUGUUUUGAUAUGCUAAUUCUUUGUUUUCAAUUCCCCUGUUAUAUUACCUAUUUGGUUGUCUUGGGCUAGUAAAUUUUCACAUUAUGUUUACCACUCAGUUUCAAAGCUUAUUUCAUAUCAUUGGCUACUAUAAAAAGGACUUUAUUAUCUUUUACUUUUUGGGAAUUUGCAUCAAUGGAUAAUUUUCUUUCUUUUAGGCAUGGGAUCUGUGGAAAGACAACAGGGGACAGGAGUUGAUGGAUCCAGUGUUGGAAGAGACAUUGCCAACACACAUUCUGUUGAAGUACAUCAAUAUAGGCCUUCUUUGUGUUCAAGAAAGUGCAGAUGACAGGCUUACCAUGUCUGAUGUUGUCUCAAUGCUUGGCAAUGAAAGUGUACGUUUACCCUCUCCAAAACAACCGGCAUUUUCAAAUCUGAGAAGUGGGGUGGCACCACAUAUAUUUCAAAACAGGCCUGAAAUUUGUUCCUUAAAUGGUGUGACACUUUCGAUUAUGGAAGCACGAUAAUGGUUCAGAACUUAAUAAAUAAUAUGCUUAAAUUUCAGCAUAUUGUCUUGCGUUGUUUUUGUGAAUUCAUAGCUCAUGUAUUGAAAUGGACAUGUGAUCUAUGUGUUAAUUUUUCUUCCAAAACAGUUCAAUAAUCAUUCAGACCUGUGUCUAAUAUUUUUAUCUGAAACUGUUAUGAAGUCUGAUUUUAUCCAGUUGAAUUUGGAUUUAAUUUGAUUAUGAUCUGUACCCUCAUCAAUCCAAGGAGUGAAGGACAAUUUUCAGAGCUCAAAAACCAACAAAUGGCGCAUUUAGGGCCAAUCCAUCUAUAGAGAGUCAACUAUCCACCUUCCACUUAUUCUCUUAUAUGUGUUUCCGAAUGCCCUGGCAUAUGUAUAUCUUGCACAGAUUCAAUUCUGUACUACUGUAUAUUUACUAUGAGACUGACUAAGUUCUACUGUUUUGAGAAUAGUGCAGUGUAUAUAUCUUGCCAAGAAUAUUCUAUGGAGCAUAAUUCCUUUGUGAAAUCAGAUGUUUCCAGCUAAGGAGUUGAUUGUGAAUCCUGUGACAAGAGGAACUCGAAAUAUUACCUCUCACUGAGAAUCCUGUGAAUUGAAACCUCCUUAACACCUACCAUAUGAAAAUGAAUGAUUUUUCUUUUCUUUUUUUCUGUAAUUUUAUGUAUUAGCAUGGUAAGUGAAUUCAGUUUUCACUGGGCAUCUGAAAGAAGAUAAUUUGAAACAGUUUUUGGUAUGGGGAAUGGGGUAUGAGGACAAGAUGCUGUAAUUGAUGGAUAUGUCAGUGGGGAAAGAAAUUAUCAGAACCCAGGUGUAGGUAUUAACUUAGCUAUAAUGGGGGAAGGGAGUGAACAGAAGCAGGGUUAGCUUCAAUUUCAGAUUCAUAUCAUACAGUGCUUCAUUCAACUAGUAAUAGCGAAGACAAUUCAGCUACUCAGCAUAGGAGGGAGGAAUUAGUUAAGCAGUUGUAGAUUUUUCGCCUUCCAAAUCCAAAGUGAUCAGACAAUUUUCCAGAAAAAAAAAAAGUGGUAUAACGUUCCCUGUGACUUAUAACACUUCCCAUUUGUUUGGACAUAGUUUGAAUAAAACCCCUUUGGUUGCCAAGAAAACCAAGGAAAAUGCAAAAGAGAAAUAACUUGAAGUCUACAAUUUCUGUAGUUUAUGAUGGAAAGCUCAAGUUCAAGCUCAAGUAAGGCUAAACGAGCCCAUUGACCCUCUCUCAUCUCUACAACAUAGACUUCAAAAGCAAAAUGGGUAAAAUAAUGGUCAUUUAAGGGGCCCUGCGCUUGGCUUGGGAAUCAGUUUCAUUGAAUAUUUUAGGAGAGAUAACAUAUAGCAAGUCAAAAAGUAGAUAAGUACAAACUAAUUUUGCCGUCCAGCAUAGAAAAUCUAAUCCCAGUGGGGCCUUAAGUACAUGAAUUUAGUGUUCUUUCCAUCAUUCUUCUCAUUCUGGUCAUGGUCUAGAUUGAAGAAAGGUCCGAUACAAAUUGGAAAAGUCAUAGAAGGAAAUAUAUCUAGAAGGGAAUCCUAACAAAAGGUCUUUCAAAACUGCUACACCUUGCUUUGCAUCGUAGUUGGUCUCUGCAUUGAAUGAGUCUUUUUUUUUCCUAUGUCCCCUGGAGACAGAAAAUCUGAAAACAUUUCUAAAUGGUUUUCCAAAAUACAGUGCAUGGGAGGUUCCAGGACUUUGAGGGAAAGGAAAGCAGCAGAACCAGCUGGGGAAAAUCAGGUAUCUGAUUUCUUCUAUUAAUUCAUCAGCAUGAAAAGGAUCAUUUCCUGCCACUCUAAUGUUGUUUAAUCUAUUCAACCACGGAAAUUAGGGAAGACUUUGACGAAAAUGAUGCGCGGUCAAGUUCUGCUACCUGCUACAUUGAAUUAUGCUUAUCUAGGGAAGAUGCAUUGAAGUCUUAGAGCAUUUGAGAUUUUUUUUUUCUUUUUUUCUCUUAAGACACAAUUAAUUGUCCAUAAAUUAAUAGCUUGGGAACAAGGAAAAUCAAUUAAUUAAGUGAAUAUUAAUUGCUUAUUAAUUAAUAAAUCAUUAAUUUAUCAAGAUAGUUCUUAUUUUUUCAAAAUAUUGUAUUCAAUAUUAUUUAUUAUAAUUGUUAGGAAGUGUCCCAAUUUCCUAAUUAGUAUAAAUUUAUUUUUUGUAAAGAAUAUUAUAUGAAUGUUUUUAGGUUAAUAUAUUAUUGUAAUAUUAGAUUUUCUUAUAGGGUAAGGAAGGUUGUUGGAAAUAUCUUUGUACAUAUUCUAGGUCAUGAGGAGAAAAAGUUAUGAGAUGGAAAUGACCAUGUAAAGAUUAUACGGGGUAAAUAGAGAUGUGAGAAAGAACGGGAGGUACUCGGUGGAGCGAGAUGACUUGUGGUAGGGUAGGGAUACGAAGAGUAGGAAAACAGGAGAUGUUUUAAGAACCCAAUAAUUGUAUCUGGUUAUGUCCUCUAUAAUGUUUUGGUUCUAUCCUUUGUAAUGUUCUCUAUUGUAUAAUGAAAUGAUUCUCUCUCAUCUGUGGACGCAGACAUGGUUGGUCGGAUGUGAUGAGGGAGCAGCAACACCACUCUUCAUCUCUGAACUAGACUGUGAUGUAGACUUUGGUAUGGAUCUUGACCCCAACUCAACCUCCACCUGUGUGCUUGAUUUUUAUUGCUCUUUAUCACAAGAAUAUCUAAAAGAUGAGUCAUGAAGCAUAGUAGUUUCAUAAAAAAUAACAUCUCUAUUGACCAUGACUUUCUUGGUUUUUAAACACCAUAACUUAUAUCCUUUAACACUAGACUUAUAGCCAAGGAAGACACAUUUUAUAGACCUAGGUUCUAGCUUUCCAUUAUCAACAUGAGUAUAGGCAGGACAUCUAAAUACCUUCAAAUCAGGGUAACUAGCAGGAGUACCAGACCAUACCUCUUGUGGAGUUCUUUUGUUAGUAGUAGUUGAGGGAUAACGAUGAAUGAGGAAACAAGAUGUAGCUUUAGUCCAAAAAGACUUAGGUAAACCAACAAUGGAAAGCAUAUAAUGUACUUUCUCCAUCAAAGUCCUAUUCAUUUGCUUUGCCACACCGUUUUGCUGUGGGGUAUGACGAACUGUAUGAUGCCUCGCGAUUUCUUCUGACUUGCAUAGAACAUUAAAUUCAUAAGAACAAAACUCCAAGCCAUUAUCAGUGCGAAGACGUUUUACCUGCUUCCAUGUCUGCUUCUCAAUCAUAAUUGUCCACUCCUUGAAUGUAGCUAACAUAUCACUCUUUUUCUUCAAGAAGAACACCCAAACUUUUCUGGAAAAAAUCAUCAAUGAUAGUUAACAUAUAACUAACACAUCCCUUAGAAGGCACCCUAGAUGGUCCCCGAAGAUUAGAAUGUAUAUAAUUGAGUGUCCUCUUUGUGUUGUGAAUGCCUUUUGUGAAUUUGACUCUUCUCUGCUUCCCAAAAACGCAGUGCUCAUAGAACUUUAGUUUUCUAAUACUCUAACCAUUAAGAAGUCCUCUUUUGCUCAAUUCAAUCAUCCCAUUCUCACUCAUAUGCCUAAGGCGCAUAUGCCAAAGUCUAGUAACAUCACCAUCUAAUAAGGAAGAAGUAGCAACAACUACAUCACUUAUAACUGUGGAUCCCUACAAGACAUAUAAUUUGGUAGAUCUUUUCUGCCAUUUCAUCACAACAAGAACACAUUUACUAACCUUUAAGACUCCACCUUCACCAGUAUACUUGUACCCUUUUGAAUCAAGAGUACUCAAUGAGAUAAAGUUCCUCUUUAGAUUUGGAAUGUGUCUCAUAUCACCAAACAUAGAUGGACAUUCAAGAAUAAAGAUUAGAAUUAGAUUUGAACCCAAACAUCAUUUAAAUCAGAGAUUGUAUAGGUCAUUAUAGAAGAUUAUUAUUAAAUUUGGCCCGAAAAAUAAAUCUUUUACAUUUUACUCCCUACUAUAAGUGACCUACCACCAGCCUAAAAAGAAGAAAUGUGGGCCUAAUGAGGGUUUUUUUUUUUUUUUUGAUAUUUUCCAUUUAUAUAACUAACUUGAACAAUGGUGUACCCUUAAAAGUAGAAAAGAUCCAUGUAGUAUUCUUCGGUUUAUUAUGGUUAUGUUUGGUUAUGAGAAAAUUUAAAGGAAAAUGUGAAGAAAAGAAAAUAAAAAAGAAAAAUAAAAAGAAAGAAAAUUAAAAAUGGGUUUAAAUUCAAUGAAUUAUUUUUAUAUGCUUCUCCAAACUCAUUUCACUUUUUUUUUUCAUUAUAAUAAGAUUAAAUAAUUUAAAAAUAUAUAAAAUUUUAACUAAUUUUAUUUUAUUUUGUAUUUUUUCAUAAUGAAACUAAAUAUAAGAAAACUAUUUUUCUUAACUUUUUUUUUCUUAAUAUUUUCCAAGAGACUAAAUAUAGCCUAGAUGUAUCUAGUAGAAAGAUCCAACAUGGGGUUGGAAAAAAAUCAUAGAAGAAGAUAUAUCUUGAAGGGGAGAUCAAAGGAUAUUAAAUGGGACUAUGACCCACACCUGAGAUUUAUGGGCUGCUUAAUGGAACAAACCAGAUUUUUAUCCACCAUAUUGAAUAUUGAAUAUGGUAUUCUUCCAAUUAUUAAAUGUAUUCAGCGAAAAGGUCCAAUUGUUAGUAAAAGAAGAACAGGUCAAACUAUCGUACUAGGGUGCUAUGAGUGAGAUUGUGAUUACAUCAACUUUUAAUUAUUUAGAAUAUUGUCCAUUAUAUAUUUUAAUUUUUUAUAAUAUUAAUUUAUUUUAUUGAUUAAGAAUUAUAAUUUAAUGUAUACUUAACAUUAAAAUCUUAUAUAGUUCCAAUUUCAUACAAGUAACUAAAUUUUUUAUAUUGAUCUCAUCUCUGCACCCAAAUGCCCAUUUCCUCUUGAAGAUUAAAAAUUAAAAAUAAAAAUUAAUCCAUCUAACAACCAAGUUAAAAUGUAUUUAUAUAUCAUAAAAAAAAAAAAUCAUCACCGAAUAAACCAAUAACCAUAAAAAUAAAAAUGGAAAAUCAUCUAUAAAUAAAUCAAAACAAAAUAUAAAAAGAAAAUAAUAUUUUCAUGGUUGAUUAACCCUAUGAGUUGGAUGAUAAAAGCGUUAAUAUCGAGUUGGAGGCAAAACCAAUAACCAUCGGAAGAUAUUCUUCGAUUGCUACCACACGGUGCUGUAGAAUUUUCCAAAAGGGAGGCCAGUGUAAAGGAGACGUGCAAGAUGUUCUUCUAUUGCUUCCACACAGUGGUGUCGAAUUUUCCUAGAAGAUAUAUUGAAAGGGAGAUCAGUGGAAAGGAGACUUUGACUCACCGGUCGUUGGGCCUCAGGUCCGCCACUGCCUGUUUUGGAUGACUAUAAAACUAUUGAUGGGCUGCUUAAACGCUGCUUAUGAGUUAUGGUUAACAUGAAAAUUUCAACCAGAAGGUGGUCUGCUAAUCUUGUUUUCUUGCUUAUUUCUUCAGGUUUUCACUGGCAAUUUGUUGAUGCAUUUACAGAUACAAUCUUACAAGGUCAAUCAAUCACAACCUCUCAGACCAUCAUCUCUGCUGGAGGUAACUUUGAAUUAGGAUUCUUUUCUCCUGGAAAGUCCACAAAAUACUAUGUGGGGAUAUGGUACAAGAAAAUCUUAGAGCAAACCAUUGUGUGGGUAGCUAACCGAGACUAUUCAUUCACAAAUCCGUCCGUGAUUCUCACUGUCAGCACAGAUGGCAACCUCGAGAUUUUGGAGGGGAAGUUUUCGUACAAGGUGACAAGCAUAUCAUCAAACAGCAACACUAGUGCCACCCUGUUGGAUUCUGGAAAUCUUGUUUUGAGGAAUGGCAACUCAGAUAUCUUAUGGGAGAGCUUUGACUAUCCAACGGACACACUCCUGCCCGGAAUGAAAAUCGGACAUGACAAAAGGUCUGGAAAAACAUGGUCAUUGGUGUCAUGGAAGAGCGCAGAAGAUCCCGGUCCAGGAGAUUUCUCCGUGCAGGUCGACCCUAAUGGAACUAGACAGAUUUUUAGCCUGCAAGGACCCAACAGGUAUUGGACUACUGGGGUGUGGGAUGGGCAGAUUUUCAGCCAGAUUCCUGAGUUGCGUUUCUACUACUUUUAUAAGUACAAUACAUCCUUUAAUGAGAAUGAAAGCUAUUUCACUUACUCUUUUCAUGAUCCCUCCAUUCUGAGCAGAGUGGUGGUAGAUGUGUCAGGCCAGGUUAGGAAACUGAAAUGGCAUGAAGGCACACAUGAAUGGCAUUUAUUUUGGCUUCAACCAAAAAUACAGUGUGAGAUUUAUGCUUACUGUGGGCCUUUUGGAACCUGCACUCGGGAUUCUGUUGAAUUUUGUGAAUGCUUACCAGGUUUUGAACCUCGCUUCCCUGAAGACUGGAAUCUGCAAGACAGAUCUGGAGGGUGUGUGAGGAAAGAAGAUUUGCAGUGUGUCAAUGAAAGCCAUGCUAAUGGGGAGCGAGACCAGUUUCUUUUGGUGUCUAACGUGAGACUGCCCAAGUAUCCAGUAACACUGCAAGCAAGGACUGCUAUGGAGUGCGAAUCAAUUUGCCUGAAUCGCUGCUCUUGCUCUGCUUAUGCUUACGAGGGAGAGUGUAGAAUAUGGGGUGGAGAUCUUGUAAACGUGGAGCAGCUACCAGAUGGUGACAGUAAUGCUAGAAGUUUCUACAUCAAACUUGCUGCCUCUGAGCUAAAUAAGAGAGGUAAGAAAAAAGAGUCAUAGUUGUUAUUGUAGGAGGACAUAGAGCAUAUGGGUCUUGUUUUAUUUUCAAUAUAAAAUGGCCAUGGAUUCAGCUAAAUUUAAUAUGAUAUAUUUCCUUCUACAGUUUCAACCAGCAAGUGGAAGGUAUGGUUAAUUGUCACACUGGCCAUAUCUUUAACUUCAGUAUUUGUCAAUUAUGGGAUAUGGCGAAGGUUCCGAAGAAAAGGUCAGUAUUUCUCAUGGACAGAAGGAUGGCCAAGCAGUUCAACAGUUUUUAGGUUCCAUCUGCAAAUACAAAGCCAGUUCUUUUUUUAAAAUGAGUUCAUUACCACUGUUAUUGAAUAAUUAAGGUAACAUUAGGAUUUCAUGUUCUGAUUACAUGUGAGUGUGUAUGUGGAAUCCAAUGUGAGAAAUAAUUUAUUCCCAUGCCGGAAUUCCUACAUUCUUAUGAUAUUUAAUGUCUGUUUGUUCUUUACCAAGCAGGGGAAGAUUUGUUAGUAUUUGAUUUCGGUAACAGCUCAGAAGAUACCAACUGCUAUGAGCUUGGCGAGACAAAUAGACUUUGGAGGGACGAGAAGAAGGAAGUUGAUUUGCCCAUGUUCAGUUUUGCGAGUGUAUCUGCUUCUACAAAUAACUUCUGUAUUGAAAAUAAACUAGGAGAGGGCGGUUUUGGAUCUGUUUACAAGGUGAGAUUAUAACCCCUGACAAUAAUGUUCUACAAUUUGUCCUGGAAUGUAAAGGCCUACUUGAUAUAUACCAAAUUUCUUUUACUUGGUGUAAUUGUAGUCUGUUGAAAUUCCCAUGACAGGGAAAGUCACAAAGAGGAUAUGAGGUAGCUGUGAAAAGGCUCUCAAAAAGAUCUAAACAGGGAUGGGAGGAGUUAAAAAAUGAAGCCAUGCUUAUAGCCAAGUUGCAACACAAGAAUCUUGUGAAAGUUUUGGGAUACUGCAUCGAGCGGGAUGAGAAGAUAUUGAUUUAUGAGUAUAUGUCCAACAAAAGCUUGGAUUUCUUCCUCUUUGGUUUGUAACUUCCACAUACAUAUGCUUCCAGCUACUGUAUAUUCAAUGAGAACUUUAUACAUUCAUCAUUCUUCACCACUUACUUGCUAACAUCUAUUUUUUUGGUGUAAAAUGGAAAUAGAUCCUGCAAAACGCGGGAUUCUGAAUUGGGAGACGCGAGUUCACAUCAUUGAAGGGGUUGCUCAGGGACUUCUUUAUCUCCAUCAGUACUCCAGAUUGAGAGUUAUUCAUCGAGAUUUGAAGGCUAGCAACAUUCUUCUGGAUAAAGACAUGAACCCUAAAAUAUCAGAUUUUGGAAUGGCAAGAAUUUUUGGAGGAAAUGAAUCAAAAGCAACAAAACAUAUAGUUGGGACUUAGUAAGUGAAUCCUAACGCAUUGUAAAAUAUGUGGACUGUCUCAUAACAUGCUUUUUUUCUACAUAUAUAUUUGUAAUCAUGCAAUUACUAAAUGAAUUGUUUUAAUAAUGAAUCCAGUGGCUACAUGUCCCCCGAGUAUGUUUUGCGAGGUCUCUUUUCAACUAAAUCUGAUGUUUUUAGCUUCGGGGUCUUGUUAUUAGAGAUUCUAAGUGGCAAGAAGAUUACUGAAUUUUAUCAUAGUGACUCGCUCAAUCUUCUUGGAUAUGUAAGUAACACAAAUUUCCUCUUAUGUAGCUAAAGUUAUCAUGUUUACUACUAUAUUUCAAGCUUUAAGUUACAUACUUGAAUGCAAUUGACCGAAUUAGGACUAUAUAUCUUUUUUUCUUUUUUCGGGAAUGUGCAUCAAAGUAUAAUUUUCUUUCCUUUAGGCAUGGGAUCUGUGGAAAAGCAACAGAGGACAAGAGUUGAUUGAUCCAGUAUUGAAUGAGAUAUCUUUGAGACAUAUUCUGUUAAGGUACAUCAAUGUAGCCCUUCUUUGUGUUCAAGAAAGUGCAGAUGAUAGGCCCACCAUGUCCGAUGUUGUCUCCAUGCUUGUCAAGGAAAAUGUACUUUUAUCUUCUCCAAAUGAGCCGGCCUUCUUAAAUCUAUCGAGUAUGAAACCACAUGCAUCUCAAGAUAGGCUUGAAAUUUGUUCCUUAAAUGAUGUAACACUUUCAAGCAUGGGAGCACGAUAAGUGUUCUAAAUUUCAGAUUGCAUAUGCUUAAAUGUCUUCAGCAUAUUGUCUAGUAUUAUUAUUGGCCAUCAAGUGGAUUGUUGAUGUACUGAACGUGUGAACUUUUGUAUGUAUUUUUCUUUCAAUGCAGUUCAAUAAUGUGCUUAAUUUUACUCAAUCCUCAAGGAUUCAGACCUGUAUCUCAUCUUCCCAUCUGUAAUUGCUACUGAAUCUGCUUUUAUGCAUUGCCAAUCCAGACACUAAAAUACAACCCUCAGAGCUUACUGCAAAUGUUCAACUAGUGCUAGGAAAGACGAGCUUUUGCGCAUGCUACAGCUAAGCAUAAGUACUAAUUAACAUAUAGGCAAGAGGGAAAGUGAGGAAGGAAAGCAGCUAUAGAUUUUUUUGCCUUUUAAACUGUGAUAGCAUCUAGCAUUUUUUUUAAGAGAAGAAAUAGUAUAAUUUAAUUGAGUACUCGUAAAACCUUCUUUUCUUAUUGGACAUGGUUUCAAUAAAACCCAUUUGGUUGCCAAGAAAUCUGAGGAAAUUCAGGAUGUGGAUGGGGAAUUUGAAGUCUACCUUCGUCCCUAUAGCUUAAAAUGAAAAGGCAUAGUUACAAACUAAGCUUACAUUCUGGCAGAAACGUAUAUAUUCCCUAUUGGGGCUUGCAGUAGGAGAUUGACCUGGAAGCCAACCAGAAAAGACAUGCAUCUAUGAUUAAAAGGAGCUCAUGCUCACAAGAAACUUUCUCUCUAUCCAAUGUGGGAUAUGACACCCUGAAGUAUGAAUAUCACUACUUACUAUUGCUAGCUAUGGACAAGGAAAAAAAAACAAGAGAAGGAAAAAAAACGAAAGGAGGAAUAAGCAAAAUGAUGUCCAAGGAUUCAAAAUUGUUUACAGUAAUUGGCCAGAAGCUAGAUCAAUUUCAUGAAAAUAUUUAAUUCCCCAAAAUUAAGAGUAAGUUUUUCCCAACAAAAUUGUUAUUUUUUUAAUUCCCUUAAUCCUAUGGGUUCAAGAACAAGCCGAGUCCAGUACGACUCGGCCGAGUCGGAUAGACUCAUACUCAAUCAGGAAUCGCUUAAACUCGGUUAACUCAACGGAGAUUCCGAGUUGACUCGGUUGAACCGUUCGUGUUAACAAAAGAAAUCGUUUUUUCACUUUCGAAUCUCAGCAGAGGAACAACAAACGAGAUGUAAACCUAAAAAACCUCUGAAAAAUCAAAGAUUGUCUUCAAAAGGAAAAGUUUCUCAACAACCAUGAUGAAGAGGAAGAAAGACAUCAGUCUAACCCAUGACUGAGUCUUGGAGGUGCACAAGAAGAAGAGGUUGAGGUAUUACUAACUUCAGAACAAUCAUGGAUGUGGAGCGCCUUCGAUGGUCCCGGUGUGGUAACUGGUGUGAUGAGAAGAUUCCCUCCAUUGACGUGAGCGGCCAUCGCUGCAUCUGGUCUCUCCUCUCUCUAAUUUUGGUCUCAGUUCUCGCCUGCUUCUGUCUGCCUCCCUCCCUCCCUCUCUCUCUCUCUCUCUCCCUGGUACGGGUGAGUUAGUGAUUUGAAGAAAGGGUGGCAAUCGGUGCCAGAAAAUUGGGGAUUUGAAGACAGGGUGGUCAAUGUUUUAAUAUCAAAAUUAUUUAUAAUUGUAUAUGUUAAUAUUAGGUAAUAUAGUAUCAAAUUUUAUAGUCUUUGUUUUUUUUUAUGAUAAUAAUUUAUUAUUUUAUAUAUUAAUGGUGUGAUAUAAAUUAUAUUAGCUUAAGUAAAGUAUUAUUUUAUAUGGCAAUGAUAGCAUAUUUGAUGUAUUAAUUUAUUAUUAACAAUAUAUUCAAGUCAUUUACUAUAUUAUUAUAUUAACAUAUUAAAAUCAUUUAAUUAAUAAUAUAUACUUUGUUUAAUAAAUAUAAUUUUAUAUUAUAUUUAAACAUAAAGUGUUGUAAUCAUUUAAUCAAAAAUAAAAAUAAAAUUAAUGAUUGAAUUAUAUGUCUUUUAGUAAAAAUAUCAUUAUAGUUGAAAUAAAAUAAUUUUCAAUUCUUAACAUUAUCAUAAAUUGUUUUUGUGGAGACUUUAUAACUAUUUAAAUAAUAUUAAAUAUGAGAAAAUUUUAUUUUAUAAUUUUUUAGCUUAUUUAAUUAUAUUUGUUUUUCUAAAAAAUUUCAAAAUAUUUUUGUAAUUUUAAAAUUUUUUAGUUAUCUUAUUUUGCAUACUGCUCUAUACCAAGUCGAGAUGUUGAGACCGUUAUGCCUUGGGACCCUCCAAAUUAAUGAUUGAUAUCGUCACUUCAAUUAUAUGAAUAUAAAAAAUAAAUAUGUAAAGAAAUACCAUAAGACAUAAUAAUAGUAUUUUAAAAUAUUUUUAGCAUAUUGAUAUAUAUAUAUAUAAUUAUUUAAUAGUUAUUAAUUAUAUUUAAUGGUUUAAAAUAUUUUUUAGUUUUUAAUUACUAUAUUUUAUGUAUCAAUCAAUAUCGCACUGACAUCUUAGAUUUAAAUAACGAAAAUAGUAUCAAUUUUUGAAAAAAAAAAAAAAAAAAAAGGAAAUGGUCUUUUAAGGUUAAAGUAUGAAUCUUUAGGUUUAGAUGUUCCCAAACCUUCAAUUCUAAGUGUUGAAGACGACUUCGAAGUUGUUGGAAGUCUUGUAAAUCUACGAUUUUCUAUCUGAUGAUUUAAACCUUGAUCUUAAUGCACUUUUAGUGGAGAUCGAUGGAAGAAAGGGUGGAAACUAUGAGUCUUUCUCUUUGAAGGUGGAAGAUGACUUUCUAGAAAAAGUUAUGGAAACUUUAACCCCAAGAUCGAUGUACCUUAAGACCUUUCAAGUCAAUGACCCAUAACAUAACUUUCAACCAUAAGAUGGACACUAAAAAAAAAAGAAUUAGAGUUGGAUUUGAACACAAACCUCUUUCAAAGAAGAUAAUGUACCUAUCAUUAUGGAAAAUUAUUAUUAAAUUUGGGUGGCAAAAUAUAUCUCUUAUAUUUUAACCCCUUCCAUAAGUGACUUUGCGUAGCCGUAAAAAGAAGAACUAUAGAAAAGAUGCCUUAGGUAUCUGCCGAUUAUUAACUAUAUCUAGUAAAAGAUCUUACACGGUGUUUGAAAAACUAUAGAAGAAGAUAAAUCUUGAAGGGGAGAUCAGUGGAAAUGGAUCUAUGACUCGCCACUCCAUGAUUUAUGGGCUGCUUAAACUUUGAUGAUGGGUUAUGGGUAGCAUGAAAAUUUCAGCCAGAGGGUGGUCUAUCAAUCUUGCUUGUUUCUUCAUGUUUUCACUUGGAAUUUGCUGAUGCAUUUAUAGAUACAAUCUUACAAGGUUAGUCAAUCACAACUUGUCAGACCAUUGUAUCUAUUGGUGGUGACUUUGAAUUAGGAUUCUUUUCUCCUGGAAACUCCACAAAAUAUUAUGUGGGGAUAUGGUACAAGAAAGUGUUAGAGCAAACCAUUAUGUGGGUAGCUAACCGAGGUUAUUCAUUCACAAAUCUGUAUGUGGUUCUUACUGUCAUUCCAGAUGGUAACCUCGAGAUUUGGGAAAGGAAAAUUUCAUACAAGGUGACGAACGUAUCGUCAAAUAGAAACACCAGUGCCACCCUGUUAGAUUCAAGAAAUUUUGUUUUGAGAAAUGAGAAGUUGGAUAUCUUAUGGUAGAGCUUUGACUAUCUAUUGGACAUGAUCUUGCCUAGAAUGAACAUUGGAUAUGACAGAAGGCUGGAAAAACAUGGUCAUUGGUGUCAUGGAAGAGCACAGAAGAUCCUAGUCCAGGAGUUUUUAUUAGAGAAUUCAUUACAAUAGAUUUUCUUGUUAGCUUUUUUCCUAUAAUGUGUGGCCAUAUACAAUUAUAUUUGUAUGAAUAUUAUUUAAGGGUAUCAAUUGAUAGGUAGGUGAAUAAAUUGACUGGACAUCCAAGAGUCUUGUGUAUGGAAUACUCAAAUUUAUAAAUGGGGAGUUAGAAAAUUUAACUCAUAUGAAUGUGGUGUUACAACUUUUGUAACCCCAUCAUUAUGAAAUUUAUUUGUACAUUAUGUUUAUGAGUAAUGGAGGAAAAUGGAAAAGUAUAACCUAUGCAAUUAUAUAGAUGCAUUCAAGUUCAUAACCUAUCAUUACCCAUUAAUUUGUACAUAAUAGGUGUAAAUAAUGAGUAUAACUCCCAUAUAGUCUUUGAUGGGAAGACUAAGAGAUGUACAAUUUUUUUUAUAAGUUGAGGUCCCAAGCCACACUCUCAUUCUUAUGUCUUUUUGUUGGUUUAUUUUUAACAACAUACACCACACAAGUGACCCAUCCACUUUAUGAGAGUAGUGAGUCGAAGACCUUGCCAAUCCAAUUCAUAAGGUGACUCAAUCUCACUUCAAAAGUGUUAUUGAUAUCAUGGAUCAAGGUAAGAAUAUGAUCAUUAUUUGAAUACUUAUAUUUAUUUUGUUUUAUGCAUCCAAAAUGGCUUUAUAAAAUAAUAAUUUCAGCAUAAAGUUUAUAAAAGUUUGGUUGACAUUUCUUUCUAUUUUUAAAUUCUUCUAAUUAGUUGUAAUUUCCUAUUUUUGUUGUAAUCCCCUAAUUUUAGGAUUGUUUCCUAUCUUUGUGUUUUGGGCUAAUUCUAGGAUUGUUUCUUAUUUUUGUGUUUUAGGUUUUGUGUAUAUAUAUUCAUUCUUAAUCAAUGGAAAAGUCAAGCCAUUGUUUCUUAAUGAUCCUCUCUCUGUUUCAACAGUUUUCUCCCUAGAGCAUGACCCUAAUGGAACUAGCCAGAUUUUAUCUUGCAAGGGAACAGCAGGUACUAGACUAGUGGCUUCCGGGAUGGGCAGGUUUUCAGCCUGCUUCUUGAAAUGCGUUUAGACAAUAUAUUGAAAUACAAUUAUUCCUUUAGUAAGGAUGAGAGCUAUUUCAAUUACUCUCUCUAUAAUUCUACCAUUAUAAGCAGAGUGGUCCUGGAUGUGUCAGGGCAGAUUAAGCAAAUGACAUGGAUUGAAGACACUCAUCAAUGGAAAUUGUUUUGGUCUCAACCCAGAACACAAUGUCAGGUUUAUGCUUACUGUGGGCCUUCUAGAAUCUGCAAUCUGGAUUCCUAUGAGUAUUGUGAAUAUUUGCCUGGUUUUGAACCUCGCUCCCCCGGAAACUGGGAAUUGCAAGACGGAUCUGGAGGGUAUGUGAGGGAAGCAGAUUUGCAGUGUGUCAACGGAAGUCAUGGUGAUGGGGAGAGAGACCAGUUUCUUUUGGUGUCUAAUGUAAGACUGCCCGAGUAUCCACUAACAUUGCAAGCAAGAGUGCCAUGGAUUGCGAGUCAGCCAGCCUGAAUAACUGCUCUUGCUCUGCUUAUGUUUAUGACAGCGAGGAGUGUACAGUAUGGAGUGGAGAUCUUCUAAACCUGCAACAGCUGUCGGAUUCUGACAGUAAUGCUGGAGAUUUCCAUCUCAAACUUGCUGACUCUGAGCAAAAUAGGAGAGGUAAGAAAAAGGGAAUGCUCAUACUAGUUGUUGUAGGACAUAAAGCAUAUAAAAUGGCUAUUGAUUCAGUUAAGUUAAAUGUCAUAUAUUUCCUUCUACAGUUUCAAGCAGCAAGUAGAAGCUAUGGCUCAUUGUUACACUAGCCAUUUCUGUAACUUUAGCCUUUGUCACAUUUGGAAUAUGGAGAAGGCUCCAAAGAAAAGGUCAGUAUUUCUCAUGGAUAGAAGAUGACCAAGCAAUUCAAGGCUAUUUAGAUUCCAUCAACACAUACAAAACCAUUUCUUGUCUGAUAUGAAUUCAUUACCAUUGUUGUAGAAUAAUUAAGUUCAUAUUAGAGUUUCAAUCUCCUGAUUACAGUAUUGAAUUAGCUUAUUCCCAUGCCAGAAUUCCUACAUUCGUAAGGAAUUUAGCAUCUGUUUGUUCUUUACCAAGCAGGGGAAGAUUUGUUACUGUUUGAUUUCAGUGACAACUCAGAAAAUACCAACCAUGAACUUAGUGAGGCAAAAAAGGUUGGAAAGGAGAGAAGAAGGAAGUUGAUUUGCCAAUCUUCAGUUUUGCGAGUGUAUCUGCUGCUACCAAUGACUUCUCUAUUGAAAAUAAACUAGAAGAGGGAGGUUUUGGACCAGUUUAUAAGGUGAGCUUAGUAUGACUAACAGUAAUGCCUCUCAGAAAAGAAAUGUGAAAAUUUUUGCUACUGUUCUACAAUCCCUCAACUGUAAAUGCCCAUUAGGCAAACACAAAUUUUCUUUUACUUGUGUGGUUGUUGUACUCAGUUGAAAUCCCCAUGACAAGGAAAGUCACAAAGAGGAUAUGAGGUAGUUGUGAAAAGACUUUCAAAAAGAUCUAGACAAGGUUGGGAGGAGUUAAAAAAUGAAACCAUGCUUAUAGCCAAGCUCCAACAUAAGAAUCUUGUUAGACUUUUGGGCUGCUGCAUUGAGCUAGAUGAGAAGAUAUUGAUUUAUGAGUAUAUGCCCAAUAAAAGCUUAGAUUUCUUCCUUUUUGGUUUGUAGUUCUCAACAUAUCUAAACUUUUGUUUAUCCUAUGCUCAAUAAAAAGCUUUUUUCAUUCAUUGUUGUUGGCCUCUUAUUUACUAACACCAGUUUGUAUUUAUUUGGUGUAAAAUAGGGAUAGAUCCUGCAAGACAUGGGAUUCUAGAUUGGGAGACACACAUUCACAUAAUUGAAGGGGUUGCUCAGGGAUUUCUUUAUUUCCAUCAGUACUCUAGAUUGAGGAUUAUUCAUUGAGAUCUGAAGGCUAGCAACAUUCUUUUGGAUAUAGACAUGAACCCCAAAAUAUCAGAUUUUGGAAUGGCAAGAAUUUUUGGAGGAAAUUAGUUGAUAGCAACAAAUCAUAUUAUCGGGACUUGGUAAGUGAAUCCUUGCAAACCGUAAAAUAUGUGGAUUCUCACAUAACAUGGCCUUUCUUUUAUAUAUAUAUAUAUACAUUUUUGUCACAAGGCAACUACUAAAUGAUUUGUUCUAAUAAUGAAAUUCAGUGGCUACAUGUCCCUUGAAUAUGCUUUCGAAGGCCUCUUUUCAACUGAAUCAGAUGUCUUUAGCUUCAGGGUCUUGUUACGGGAGAUUCUAAGAGGCAAAAAGAAUACCAGAUUUUACCAGAGUGACUCACUCAAUCUUCUUGGAUAUGUGAGUAACACAAUCUACAAUGUUCUAAUAUGUUAAUUCUUGAUUUACUAGUCAGUAAAUUUUCACAUCUUGUUUACUAGUCAAUUUUAAGCUGAUGUUCUUUGCAUGCAAUAAAAAGGACUAUACAUCUGUUUUUCUUUUUUGGAAAUUUGCAUCAAGAGAACAUUUUCUUUUCUUCAGGCAUGGGAUCUGUGGAAAAACAACAUAGGGCUGGACUUGAUGGAUCCAGUAUUGAGUUGGGAGGCACGGGUUCACAUCAUUCAAGGGGUGGCUCAGGGGACUUCUUUAUCUCCAUUAGUACUCUAGAUUGAGAAUUAUUCAUCGAGAUUUGAAGACUAGCAACACUCUUUUGGAUAAGAACAUGAACAAAACAUAUAGUUGGGACUUAGUAAGUGAAUAGUAACACAUUGUAAACAAUUCAAAACAUGUUAAAACAUUAUCAUACUCAUUUUUAUGUGGAAUUUAAAUUUUUAAAAUUUAGUACAAAACAAUUUGCGCUUAUAGCUUUUUAAAUAAGAAAACUAUUAUAUAUUUUUAAAAUAAAAUAAUGCAAUUGUGGCAUGUGAAGAAAUUUUUAUUUUUAUGGAUAAAUAUAUUUUACAAAUUUUAUAUAAAUUUAUUUUUUAUUUAUAUAUAUAUUUUUUUCAAUGUUUUUAGAAUCAAAUCAAUCAUUGAAUCAAAAAAGUUAUUGGUCCACGAUUCAUUGGUUGGAUCGGUGGUCGAACCAUGAUUGAAUUAGUGAUGUUAUAAAUAAGUAAUUUAUAUAUUAUUAAAAUUAAAAAUAUUAUAUAAAAUUUUUUAGAUAUAUAAAAAAAUAAAAAUCAAUAAUAUUUAUUUUUCAUCUUUAAUAUUAUCAAAUUAACAUAUAGAUAUAUUAAUAUUUUAACAUUUGAUUAAAUAAUAUAUAUAUAUAUAGAUAAUAUUUAAAUAUAAAAAUAUUUGUUGAAGGUUAUUUAAUUUCCUUUAUAUAUGUUACACUAUUUUAUUUAUAUUAUUUACAUUUUCACUCUUAUUCAAAAUUUAUGAGAAUUUUAUUAUAUAACGUUGUUGUGUCUGGCAUGUAUAUAACACGCACAGCAAAGUGGUGGUGUGUAUGCGUUUUGAACCCAAGGUUAGUUGUUCAAACCCAUGAGCUGCAGCCCAAGAUAUGGCACAUCUUGCACUAUGUUUGAGCCCAUUUUACCCAAUAAAAAUAUCCAUGAAAGAAGAGAAAACUCAUGAGCGGGCCGGCAUUCCGGCCCAAUUAGGCUACCCGGACUGGAUUAGGCUCCAGUUGAUGGUUGAACUGGCCAAUCCAAAACAUUGAUUUUUUUAUCUCAAUAUUCGUAUCUUAUUUAUUUCAUAUAAACUUUGAAAUUAUUCAUUUAAAUAACAAUUAUCCAUUAUCCAUUUAAAACCAAUCAUCCUCACAUUUCCAAAUGAAAAGUGAAUAUCACAUUGGAUGCAUUGAAUUGUUGUUUCCCUACCACCACCCCUUUUAACUUCUCUUCACUUUGACAUCACAACUUAAAACUAUUUUUUUGGGAUGUUGAGAUGAGAUCAUGAGACAAGCGUUCAGAGGACGUGUUGAGAGUUUCUGAUAUCUUCCACGACAGCUAAGACCAUGAAUCUGAAGAGAAAGAACUGAAGAAGAGGGAGGAAAGUGAGAGUUGGUUACUCCCUUAGUUUUCAAAUUUAGAAUGGAUGAUGAAGAUGUCAUAUUACACAUCCAAUGGGUUCAAUAAAUUCUUGGGUACCUACACAGACUGUUUCGUAGAAUUUUCCUAAAAGAUAUUUUGAAAGGUAGAUCGAUGGAAAGGAGACUUUGACUUACCAGUCGCCGGGCCGCCUCAGAUCCGCUACUGCCUGUUUUGGAUGGCUAUAAUAUUAUUGAUGGGCUGCGUAAACGCUGCUUAUGAGUUAUGGGUAGCAUGAAAUUUUCAACGAGAAGGUGUUCUGCUAAUUAUCUUGUUUUCUUGCUUAUUUCUUCAGGUUUUCACUGGCAAUUUGCUGAUGCAUUUACAGAUACAAUCUUACAAGGUCAGUCAAUCACAACCUCUCAGACCAUCAUAUCUGCUGCUGGUAACUUUGAAUUAGGAUUCUUCUCGCCUGGAAACUCCACAAAUUAUUAUGUGGGGAUAUGGUACAAGAAAGUCUCAAACCAAACCAUUGUCUGGGUGGCUAACCGAGAGUAUGCGUUCAAAAAUCGGUCUGUGGUUCUUACUGUCAGGACAGAUGGUAACCUCGAGGUUUGGGAGGGGAAAAUUUCAUACAGGGUGACAAGCAUAUCAUCAAAUAGCAAAACUAGUGCCACCCUGUUGGAUUCUGGAAAUCUUGUUUUGAGAAAUGACAACUCGAGUAUCUUAUGGCAAAGCUUUGACUAUCCAUCGGACACUUUCUUGCCGGGGAUGAAACUUGGAUACGACAAAAGGGCUGGAAAAACAUGGUCAUUAGUGUCAUGGAAGAGCUCAGAAGAUCCCAGUCCAGGAGUUUUCUCCCUGAAGUACGACCCUAAGGGAACCGGCCAGAUUUUUAUCUUGCAAGGGUCCACAAUGUACUGGGCUAGUGGCACCUGGGACAGGGAUGGGCAGGUUUUCAGCUUGAUUCGUGAGAUGCGCUUAAACUAUAUGUUUAAUUUCAGUUAUUCGUUUAGUAAGGAGGAGAGCUAUAUCAAUUACUCUAUUUAUGAUUCUUCAACUAUAAGCAGAUUGGUGCUGGAUGUGUCAGGGCAGAUUAAGCAAAUGGCAUGGCUUGAAGCCUCUCAUCAAUGGCAUAUGUUUUGGUUUCAACCAAAAACGCAAUGUGAGGUUUAUGCUUACUGUGGGCCUUUUGGAAUCUGCAAUGAUAGUGCAGUUGAUGGAUUUUGUGCAUGUUUGCCAGGUUUUGAACCUGCCUCCCCUAAUAACUGGAACUCGGGUGACAAAUCUGGAGGGUGUGUGAGGAAAGCAGAUUUGCAGUGUGGCAAUAGUACUCAUGCUAAUGGGGAGAGAGACCAGUUUCAUCGGGUGUCUAAUGUGAGACUGCCAGAGUAUCCACUAACACUCCCAACGAGUGGUGCCAUGCAGUGCGAGUCAGAUUGCCUAAAUAACUGCUCUUGCUCUGCUUAUUCUUACAACGUGAAGGAGUGUACAGUAUGGGGUGGAGAUCUUCUAAACUUGCAACAGCUAUCAGAUGACGACAGUAAUGGUCGAGAUUUCUAUCUCAAACUUGCGGCCUCUGAGCUAAAUGGGAAAGGCAAUAAAAGUAGGGAAUGGUCAAACUUUUUUUUGUAGAAGGACAGAGCAUAUGAUUUUCUUUUUCUUAAAUAUAAGAUGAAGUUCAUCAAAGAUUAGUUACAUUUAUUUCUUUUUGCAGUUUCUAGCAGCAAGUGGAAGGUGUGGCUAAUUGUUACACUGGCCAUUUCCCUAACUUCGGCCUUUGUCAUUUGGGGGAUAUGGAGAAAGAUCCGAAGAAAAGGUCAGUAUUUUUCAUGGAUAGAAGAUUAUCAAGCAAUUCAAGGGUAUUUAGAUUCCAUCUACACAUACAAAACCAUUUGUUUUCUGCAAUGAGCUCAUUACCAUUAUUGUAGAAUAAUUAAGGCCAUAUUAUGAUUUCAACCUCCUGAUUACAUGUGUGUGUACCUGCACUACAGUGUGAUAAAAAUCAAUAAUGAAUCAAUUUAUUCCCAUGCCAGAAUUCCUACAUUCUUAUGAUACUUGACAUCUGUUUCUUCUUUAUCAAGCAGGGGAAAAUUUGUUACUAUUUGAUUUCAGUAACAGCUCAGAAGAUACCAACUAUGAACUUAGUGAGGCAAAUAAACUUUGGAGAGGCGAGAAGAAGGAAGUUGAUUUGCCAAUGUUCAGUUUUGCGAGUGUAUCUAUUGCUACUAAUAACUUUCUAUUGAAAAUAAACUAGGAGAGGGUGGUUUUGGACCAGUUUACAAGGUGAGAUUAGUAUUUGUGAAUCUUCUUGGUAUAUACAAUUUUUCUUUUACUUGGUGUCAUUGUACUAAGUUGAAAUUCCCAUGACAGGGAAAGUCACAAAAAGGAUAUGAGGUAGCUGUGAAAAGGCUUUCAAAAAGAUCUGGACAGGGAUGGGAGGAGUUAAAGAAUGAAGCCAUGCUUAUAGCCAAGCUGCAACAUAAGAAUCUUGUGAAGCUGUUCGGCUGCUGCAUUGAGCAAGAUGAGAAGAUAUUGAUUUAUGAGUAUAUGCCCAACAAAAGCUUGGAUUUCUUCCUAUUUGGUUUGUAACUUCUGGCUACUGUAUAUUCAAUAAAAAACCAUUCAGUAUCAUUCACCACUUAUUUGCUAACAUGAGUUUAUAUUUAUUUGGUGUAAAAUGGAAAUAGAUUCUGCAAAUCAUGGGAUUUUGAAUUGGGAGACACGGGUUCACAUCAUUGAAGGGGUUGCUCAGGGUCUUCUUUAUCUACAUCAGUACUCUAGAUUGAGGAUUAUUCAUCGAGAUUUGAAGGCUAGCAACAUUCUUCUAGAUAAGGACCUGAAUCCUAAAAUAUCAGACUUUGGAAUGGCAAGAAUAUUUGGGAGCAACGAAUCAAAAGCAACAAAUCAUAUAGUUGGGACUUAGUAAGUGAAGCCUAACAAAUUCUAAAAUAUGUGAAUGCUCAUACAACUUUUUUUUUUCUUUUUUCUGCACAUAUAUUUAGAAUCAUGCAGCUACUAAAUCAUUUUGUAAUUAAUAAUCAAACCCAGUGGCUACAUGUCCCCUGAGUAUGCUUUGGAAGGCCUCUUUUCGACUAAAUCUGAUGUCUUUAGCUUCGGGGUUUUAUUACUAGAGAUUUUGAGUGGCAAGAAGAAUACUGGAUUUUACCAAAGCGACUCCCUCAAUCUUCUCGGAUAUGUGAGUAACACAAUAUUUCCUCAUUGGUUGUCUUGGGCUACUGGUAAAUUUUCACAUUAUGUUUACCACACAGUUUGAAAACUUAUUUCAUAUGAUUGGCUACUAUAGAAAGGACUUUAUUAUCUUUUACUUUUUAGGAAUUUGCUUCAAUGGAUAAUUUUCUUUAUUUUAGGCAUGGGAUCUGUGGAAAGACAGCAGGGGGCAGGAAUUGAUGGAUCCAGUGUUGGAAGAGGCAUUGCCAAGACACAUUCUGUUGAAGUACAUCAAUAUAGGCCUUCUUUGUGUUCAAGAAAGUGCAGAUGACAGGCCUACGAUGUCUGAUGUUGUCUCAAUGCUUGGCAAUGAAAGUUUACAUUUACCUUCUCCAAAACAACCGGCAUUUUCAAAUCUGAGAAGUGGGGUGGAACCACAUAUAUUUCAAAACAGGCCUGAAAUGUGUUCCUUAAAUAGUGUGACACUUUCAAUUAUGGAAGCACGAUAAUGGUUCAGAACUUAAUAAAUAAUGUGCUUAAAUUUCAGCAUAUUGUCUUGCGUUGUUUUUGUGAAUUCAUAGCUCAUGUAUUGAAAUGGACAUGUAAUCUGUGUGAAUUUUUCUUCCAAAACACUUCAAUAAUCAUUCAGACCUGUGUCUAAUAUUUUUAUCUGAAACUGUUAUGAAGUCUGAUUUUAUCCAGUUGAAUUUGGAUUUAAUUUGAUUAUGAUCUGUACCCUCAUCAAUCCAAAGAGUGAAGGACAAUUUUCAGAGCUCAAAACCAACAAAUGGCACCUUUAGGGCCAAUCCAGCUAUAGAGAGUCAACUAUCCACCUUCCACUUAUUCUCUUAUAUGUGUUUCCAAAUGCCCUGGCAUAUGUAUAGCAUGUACAGAUACAGUUCUGUACUACUGUAUAUUUACUACGAGACUGACUAAGUUCUACUGUUUUGACAAUAGUGCAGUGUAUAUAUCUUGCAAGAAUAUUCUAUGGAGCAUAAUUCCUUUGUGAAAUCAGAUGUUUCCAGCUAAGGAGUUGAUUGUGAAUCCUGUGACAAGAGGAACUCGAAAUAUUACCUCUCACUGAGAAUCCUGUGAAUUGAAACCUCCUUAACAUCUACCAUAUGAAAAUGAAUGAUUUUUUUUUUUUUUUUUUCUGUAAUUUUAUGUAUUAGCAUGGUAAGUGAAUUCAGUUUUCACUGGGCAUCUGAAAGAAGAUAAUUUGAAACAGUUUUUGGUAUGGGGAAUGGGGUAUGAGGACAAGAUGCUGUAAUUGAUGGAUAUGUCAGUGGGGAAAGAAAUUAUCAGAACCCAGGUGUAGGUAUUAACUUAGCUAUAAUGGGGGAAGGGAGUGAACAGAAGCAGGGUUAGCUUCAAUUUCAGAUUCAUAUCAUACAGUGCUUCAUUCAACUAGUAAUAGCGAAGACAAUUCAGCUACUCAGCAUAGGAGGGAGGAAUUAGUUAAGCAGUUGUAGAUUUUUCGCCUUCCAAAUCCAAAGUGAUUAGACAAUUUUCCAGAAAAAAAAAAGUGGUAUAACGUUUCCUGUGACUUAUAACACUUCCCAUUUGUUUGGACAUAGUUUGAGUAAAACCCCUUUGGUUGCCAAGAAAACCAAGGAAAAUGCAAAAGAGAAAUAACUUGAAGUCUACAAUUUCUGUAGUUUAUGAUGGAAAGCUCAAGUUCAAGCUCAAGUAAGGCUAAACGAGCCCAUUGAGCCUCUCUCAUCUCUACAACAUAGACUUCAAAAGCAAAAUGGGUGAAAUAAUGGUCAUUUAUGGGCCCCUGCGCUUAGCUUGGGGAUCAGUUUCAUUGAAUAUUUUAGGAGAGAGAACAUAUAUCAAGUCAAAAAGUAGAUAAUUACAAACUAAUUUUGCCGUCCAGCAUAGAAAAUCUAAUCCCAGUGGGGCCUCAAGUACAUGAAUUUAGUGUUCUUUCCAUAAUUCUUCUCAUUCUGGGCAUGGUCUAGAUUGAAGAAAGGUCCGAUACAAAUUGGAAAAGUCAUAGAAGGAAAUAUAUCUAGGAGGGAAUCCUAACAAAAGGUCUUUCAAAACUGCUACACCUUGCUUUGAAUGGUAGUUGGUCUCUGCAUUGAAUGAGUUUUUUUUUUCCUAUGUACCCUGGAGACAGAAAAUCUGAAAACAUUUCUAAAUGGUUCUCCAAAAUACAGUGCAUGGGAGGUUCCAAGACUUUGAGGGAAAGAAAAGCAGCAGAACCAGCUGGGGAAAAUCAGCAUGAAAAGGAUCAUUUCCUACCACUCUAAUGUUGUUUAAUCUAUUCAACCACGGAAAUUAGGAAAGACUUUGACGAAAAUGAUGCGAUCGCGGUCAAGUUCUGCUACCUGCUACAUUGAAUUAUGCUUAUCUAGGGAAGAUGCAUUAAAGUCUUAGAGCAUUUGAGAUUUUUUUUUUCUUUUUUUCUUUUAAGACACAAUUAAUUGUCCAUAAAUUAAUAGAUUGGGAACAAGGAAAAUCAAUUAAUUAAGUGAAUAUUAAUUGUGUAUUAAUUAAUAAAUCAUUAAUUUAUCAAGAUAGUUCUUAUUUUUUCAAAAUAUUGUAUUUAAUAUUAUUUAUUAUAAUUGUUUGGAAGUGUCCCAAUUUCCUAAUUAGUAUAAAUUUAUUUUUUGUAAAGAAUAUUAUAUGAAUAUUUUUAGGUUAAUAUAUUAUUGUAAUAUUAGAUUUUCUUAUAGGGUAAGGAAGGUUAUUGGAAAUAUCUUUAUACAUAUUCUAGGUCAUGAGGAGAAAAAGUUAUGAGAUGGAAAUGGGUAUGUAAAGAUUAUACGGGGUAAAUAGAGAUGUGAGGAAGAACGGGAGGUACUCGGUGGAGCGAGAUGACUUGUGGUAGGGUAGGGAUACGAAGAGUAGGAAAACAUGAGAUGUUUCGAGAACCCAAUAAUUGUAUCUGGUUAUGUCCUCUAUAAUGUUUUGGUUCUAUCCUCUGUAAUGUUCUCUAUUGUAUAGUGGAAUGAUUCUCUCUCAUCUGUGGACGCAGACAUGGUUGGCCAGAUGUGAUGAGGGAGCAGCAACACCACUCUUCAUCUCUGAACUAGACUGUGAUGUAGACUUUGGGAUGGAUCUUGACCCCAACUCAACCUCCACCUGUGUGCUUGAUUUUUGUUACUCUUUAUCACAAGAAUCUCUAAAAGAUGAGUCAUGAAGCAUAGUAGUUUCAUAAAAAAUAACAUCUCUAUUGACCAUGACUUUCUUGGUUUUUAGACACCAUAGCUUAUAUCCUUUAACACUAGAAUUAUAGCCAAGGAAGACACAUUUUAUAGACCUAGGUUCUAGUUUUCCAUUAUCAACAUGAGUAUAGGCAGGACAUCUAAAUACCUUCAAAUCAAAGUAACUAGCAGGAGUACUAGACCAAACCUCUUGUAGAGUUCUUUUGUUAAUAGUAGUUGAGGGAUAACGAUGAAUGAGGAAACAAGAUGUAGCUUUAGUCCAAAAAGACUUAGGUAAACCAACAAUGGAAAGCAUACAAUGUACUUUCUCCAUCAAAGUCCUAUUCAUUUGCUCUACCACACCGUUUUGCUGCGAGAUAUGACGAACUAUAUGAUGCCUUGCGAUUUCUUUUGACUUGCAUAGAUCAUUAAAUUCAUAAGAACAAAACUCCAAGCCAUUAUCAGUGCGAAGACGUUUUACCUGCUUCCAUGUCUGCUUCUCAAUCAUAAUCGUCCACUCCUUGAAUGUAGCUAACAUAUCACUCUUUUUCUUCAAGAAGAACACCCAAACUUUUUUGGAAAAAUCAUCAAUGAUAGUUAACAUAUAACUAACACCUCCCUUAGAAGGCACCCUAGAUGGUCCCCGAAGAUUAGAAUGUAUAUAAUUGAGUGUCCUCUUUGUUUUGUGAAUGUCUUUUGUGAAUUUGACUCUUCUCUGCUUCCCAAAAACGCAGUGCUCAUAGAACUUCAGUUUUCUAAUACUCUGACCAUUAAGAAGUCCGCUUUUGCUCAAUUCAAUCAUCCCAUUCUCACUCAUAUGCCUAAGGCGCAUAUGCCAAAGUCUAGUAACAUCACCAUCUAAUAAGGAAGAAGUAGCAACAAUUACAUCACUUAUAACUGUGGAUCCCUACAAGACAUAUAAUUUGGUAGAUCUUUUCUGCCAUUUCAUCACAACAAGAACACAUUUACUAACCUUUAAGACUCCACCUUCACCAGUAUACUUGUACCCUUUUGAAUCAAGAGUACUCAAUGAGAUAAAGUUCCUCUCUAGAUUUGGAAUGUGUCUCAUAUCACCAAACAUAGAUGAACAUUCAAGAAUAAAGAUUAGAAUUAGAUUUGAACCCAAACAUCAUUUAAAUAAGAGAUUGUAUAGGUCAUUAUGGAAGAUUAUUAUUAAAUUUGGCCCGAAAAAUAAAUCUCUUACAUUUUACUCCCUACUAUACUUACCACCAGCCUAAAAAGAAGAAAUGUGGGCCUAAUGAGGGGUUUUUUUUUUUUUUUGUUGAUAUUUUCCAUUUAUAUAACUAACUUGAACAAUGUUGUACCCUUAAAAGUAGAAAAGAUCCUUGUAGUAUUCUUUGGUUUAUUAUGGUUAUGUUUGGUUAUGAGAAAAUUUAAAGGAAAAUGUGAAGAAAAUAAAAUAGAAAAGAAAAAUAAAAGGAAAGAAAAUUAAAAAUGGGUUUAAAUUCAAUGAAUUAUUUUUAUAUGCUUCUCCAAAUUCAUUUCACUUUUUUUUCUUCAUUAUAGUAAGAUUAAAUAAUUUAAAAAUAUAUAAAAUUUUAACUAAUUUUAUUUUAUUUUGUAUUUUUUCAUAAUGAAACUAAAUAUAAGAAAACUAUUUUUCUUAACUUUUUUUUCUUAAUAUUUUCCGGAGACUAAAUAUAGCCUAGAUGUAUCUAGUAGAAAGAUCCAACAUGGGGUUGGAAAAAAAUCAUAGAAGAAGAUAUAUCUUGAAGGGGAGAUCAAAGGAUAUUAAAUGGGACUAUGACCCACACCUCCUAGAUUUAUGGGCUGCUUAAUGGAACAAACCAGAUUUUUAUCCACCAUAUUGAAUAUUGAAUAUGGUAUUCUUCCAAUUAUUAAAUGUAUUUAGCGAAAAGGUCCAAUUGUUAGUAAAAGAAGAACAGGUCAAACUAUCGUAUUAGGGUGCUAUGAGUGAGAUUGUGAUUACAUCAACUUUUAAUUAUUUAGAAUAUUGUCCAUUAUAUAUUUUAAAUUUUUAUAAUAUUAAUUUAUUUUAUUGAUUAAGAAUUAGAAUUUAAUGUAUACUUAACAUUAAAAUCUUAUAUAGUUCCAAUUUCAUACAAGUAACUAAAUUUUUUAUAUUGAUCUCAUCUCUGCACCCAAAUGCCCAUUUCCUCUUGAAGAUUAAAAAUUAAAAAUAAAAAUUAAUCCAUCUAACAACCAAGUUAAAAUGUAUUUAUAUAUCAUAAAAAAAUCAUCACCGAAUAAACCAAUAACCAUAAAAAUAAAAAUGGAAAAUCAUCGAUAAAUAAAUCAAAACAAAAUAUAAAAAGAAAUUAAUAUUUUCAUGGUUGAUUAACCCUAUGAGUUGGAUGAUAAAAGCGUUAAUAUCGAGUGGAAAGGAGACUUUGACUCACCGGUCGUUGGGCCUCAGGUCUGCCACUGCCUGUUUUGGAUGGCUAUAAGAUUAUUGAUGGGCUGCUUAAACGCUGCUUAUGAGUUAUGGGUAACAUGAAAAUUUCAACCAGAAGGUGGUCUGCUAAUCUUGUUUUCUUGCUUAUUUCUUCAGGUUUUCACUGGCAAUUUGUUGAUGCAUUUACAGAUGCAAUCUUACAAGGUCAAUCACUCACAACCUCUCAGACCAUCGUAUCCGCUGGUGGUAACUUUGAAUUAGGUUUCUUUUCUCCUGGAAAGUCCACAAAAUACUAUGUGGGGAUAUGGUACAAGAAAAUCUCAGAGCAAACCAUUGUGUGGGUAGCUAACCGAGACUAUUCAUUCACAAAUCCAUCCGUGGUUCUUACUGUCAGCACAGAUGGCAACCUCGAGAUUUUGGAGGGGAAGAUUUCGUACAAGGUGACAAGCAUAUCAUCAAACAGCAACACUAGUGCCACCCUGUUGGAUUCUGGAAAUCUUGUUUUGAGAAAUAAGAAGUCAGAUGUCUUAUGGGAGAGCUUUGACUAUCCAUCGCACACUUACCUGCCGGGGAUGAAGCUUGGGUACGACAAAAGGGCUGGAAAAACAUGGUCAUUGGUGUCAUGGAAGAGCGCAGAAGAUCCCAGUCCAGGAGAUUUCUCCCUGCAGGUCGACCCUAAUGGAACUAGCCAGAUUUUUAGCCUGCAAGGACCCAACAGGUAUUGGACUACUGGGGUGUGGGAUGGGCAGAUUUUCACCCAGGUUCCUGAGAUGCGUUUGCCCGACAUGUAUAAGUGCAAUAUAUCCUUUAAUGAGAAUGAAAUCUAUUUGACUUACUCUCUUCAUAAUCCCUCCAUUCUGAGCAGACUGGUGCUAGAUGUGUCAGGCCAGAUUAGGUCUCUGAAUUGGCAUGAAGGCACACGUGAAUGGGAUUUAUUUUGGCUUCAACCAAAAACACAGUGUGAGGUUUAUGCUUACUGUGGGCCUUUCGGAACCUGCACUCGGGAUUCUGUUGAAUUUUGUGAAUGCUUGCCAGGUUUUGAACCUCGCUUCCCUGAAGACUGGAAUCUGCAAGACAGAUCUGGAGGGUGUGUGAGGAAAGCAGAUUUGCAGUGUGUCAAUGAAAGCCAUGCUAAUGGGGAGCGAGACCAGUUUCUUUUGGUGUCUAACGUGAGACUGCCCAAGUAUCCAGUAACACUG